UUUUUUUUUUUUUUUUUUUUUUUUGCGAAGAGGCAACAUGUGAUUGCAACAGGCUUGUGAUGGAUUUGAGUUGAUGAAAAGAACCUCUAUAAGCUUAUGAUUCAUAAGAUUUCUAUCGGCCUGCAUUUGCUCUUUUUAGUUGUCCUAUAGAGGAGCCCUUUCAUUCAACAUAGAAACUGCAUUUGUCUCUGAAAAGUUUUGAGGAGCAAAACUUACCUGAGAAGAGCAGCUCCAAGAGUAUUUCUUACCGAGUUUAAAGAGUACGUAAGGUCAAUAUCAUUUCAAUGGCGUCCUGAGUUUUACAAGUGUUGGUACCACAUAAUAAGUGCCGUAAUAAUAUACACGAAUCUGCAAAAAAUAUGGGAUGUCUUGAAAACGUACAAAAAUGUUAAUAACGAGACAUUGCCUGGUCAUUGAACGAUUUGGUUAGUAGCAAGAAUAUCACUAUGCGUAGUUAAAAAAAAAAAAAAACAAAAGAUAGAAUCUAGUUAGUGGUAAAUUUACCAAUGACAAAAUUCAUAUCAUUUUUCUUAUGAUCAAAAUGUCCUAGAUGCCCAGAGUGCUAGGGUCAAAGAGUUUUAUUUUUGCCUCUUGUUUUUUUUUUGCAAUACUUUCUUCGUUCCAACUUGCUAAUUAACUCAGUCAGUCGAGAUGUAUAUUCCUCUCAUUUUUCUUUAUUUCUGAAAAACAUAUGUUCAUCCUCAAGCUAAAAGUUUUCAAUUUGUCAAUUGAAGAGAUGUAUAUUCAUAUUUGUUUUUCCUGUUUUAUUAAAAAAAAUCAAAAACUUUCUCAAAAAAAAUGAUACCAAUAUCAAAUACACUACUGUUCGCUUGAUCACUGGACUCCCAUCUCUGAAAAGCCCCAGACUUAUUGGGCCUAGAAGUUUUACUCCAGAAAAGAAAAGCACAACACUGGGUAAACAUUGGGCCAGGCCCAAGACCUCAACGGCUAGUAAGCAUUUUCGAUCCGGGACUAACAGACAAACGGCAAUUCCCCGUCCCUUCCGGACUCCGUCAAGCUAAAUUCAAAUCGGUACAAAAGGAUGAUCAAGGCCCACUGUCUCCAACGGCUAUAUUUUGCGAAGAACUGAAAAAUCAUCCUUCUUUACUUUUCUUUCCACUUUUACCCCUCAGUUCUCCCCUUUCUUUAAACUUUUGCGAAGAAUCAUCGAAAUAAGUAGCGCAAACGCACUCUUAAUCAAGAAUUUCCAACUCUUAGUUCAGUUAAUGGAAAAACCCACAUCUUAUGUUCAGGUAAUUUUUUUUUUUUUUCUGUUUGGAUGCUGUGUAAAUGCAAGAAAUUGUAUAGACUUGUGAUAUUUGAUUGAUGUAGUUGUAAUGCUUGUUUUCAUUGACAUAUUUAUACCCAUUUCAGAUAUUUGUAAUUUGUUGUUAGAGACCAUACGUUUCUUAGGUUUGUUUUAACACAUUUUGUUAGUGGUUCGUAUCAAGCUUUCCUGUUAUAUAUAUUGUCUUGUUUGAAGCUUUCGGCACCCCAAGUUAUGAUCUUUUUGAACUGUAAAUCAUGGAAAGAUCAUUAUUUUCUGGAAGAUGGAAGAAUGAUGUCAUUUCUUGGGACACAACUGAUGUACUAUCUGUUGCUGAUUUAAGUUAAUCUGGGAGACAUCCAUGGGUCUGUAGUAGUUGUGGGAAGUUUUUAGUUUAGUUGUUUCAGAACUCAGUGACAGUAGCAAACUAGUAGGUUUAAGAAGAGGCAACUAAUUUUGGACAAUAUCAGCAAGCUUGGUAUCUUCUUUAUCCUGAGUUCCUAAAAAGGCUCUCUAUCUAAUUUUAGUUGUCUUACAAAGGGCUUUCCUAGCAUAUUCAUUAUCCUGGGAUGGACAUCAUGUUUAUAAUUCGUUUAAUCAGUUCUCCUUCCUCUUUCUAUCUAAGUACAUCUGUACAUCUACAGUGUUUAAGGAGCAAUUUUGACUGAGCUCCCCCGGGAAAUAAACAAAUAAUUAAAUGAAGCUUAAAUUAAAGGAUUUAAUCCAGCUUUCAACGAAAAGAAGUAUUUGCUAUUGGAACUGUAUUCCUGAAUUUUUCUAGCUUUGCAGAAAUUUAUUUUCUAAUUUUAAUUUAAGAGUUUAUGUUAAUCAGGCAAUCUUAGAUUUAGAUGUUUGUUUGUGAUGGUGGUCAGAAAGAGAGCAUGGCAAUGCGGAUUUAUUUGCAUGUGACUUAAUAAAAGUAAUAAAACCUUGCAACAUUCAGGCUAAGUGAAAAAUGCUAGUAGUUCUUAUGGAAUGUUAAUGAACAGUUUUGACAAAGUCUCUUUUUAAGCUUUCCUUCUGAUUUUGUUUCUUCAAUACUAUCUUAGGCGUUUUGCUUAGCUUGUGAUUCAGUUCUGUUUUGCUUUUUAGGUGGUCCAAAUAACAGUCAAGCUAAAUCUAUCUUUUGUGUGUGGUGAACAGGCGUGAUAGAACAUACGGAGUUUUGCAGCCAAAGAAAAAUGGGUACUGUUUAUGAAGAGUUGGAUGAUGCUAAAGCUGAGAUUGAAAAGCUCAAAGCAAAUUACCAGAUAAAGUUGGAAUUCUCUGAAAGCCUGAAAAGAGCACACAACGAGCAGCUGGUAAAGUUUCAGGAGGUAAAUUUGAAAGUCGGUAAGCUCUCUCAGGAACUAAAUGAAAAGGCUGAAGAAAUAUCUGUUGCAAAUCAGAUGUAUGAAGAACUGAAGUCAAAGUUGAAAGAGAAAGAGGCUGUUAUCGAGCACUUGACUUGUGCCAAUGAUAAGCUUCGUGCUGAUUACAAAGAGAAACUUCAAAGUUCUGAGGAAGAGAAUAGAGGGCUAGCACUAGCUUUAGAUGAGGCUAAUGCCAAGAACAUGGAUCAAGAGCAACUGAUCCGUUCAUUGCAAGUAGAAGUUGAAGGGCUGAAGGGAAUAGUGUCUGCGUCUCAGAACAAGUGUUCAGAAGCAGACAGAAAGCACAAAGCACUUCAAGAAGUGAGACAGGGAGAAGAUGUGCUUCUUAAGUUAGAAGAUGAGAAAAGUAAGUAUGAAAAUCAGCUGAAAUGGAAGAAGGAACAAUUUGGUCAUCUAGAAGAAGCCCAUAAGAAGCUUCGGCAUGAGUUUCAAGUCUGUCAGAAAGAGUGGGAGAAAGAGAGAGUUUCAUUGCUUGAUGAGAUCUCUAGAUUGCAGACAAACUUAGAUUCGCAAACCAGAAUUUCAGAAUCUCUUAAAAGCCGCCUGGAGAUGUGUAACCAGGCUCUUGCUCAUGAAGAGAGCAAGAGAAAAUAUUUGGAAGUUCAACUUUCCGAAUCAAGGACCAAUUUUGACAAUGUUUUUGCUGACUAUGAGGAGGCAAAGUCCACAAUCGAAAGCUUGACAGGUCAAAGGGAUAAAGAAAUUGCUAGCUUGAGGAACUCUUUGUGUACAAAGGAGAGCAUUUACAAGGAAAUGCAACAUCAGGUCAGGGUGCUCGACCAAGACAAGCAGGAACUAAUGAUAUCUCUCAGAGAACUCCAGGAAGCUCAAAUUCGGGAAGGAGGAAGCGCUUCCUCUUUAACAAAACUUCGGAACAAGCUUAGAGGUGUCGAACAGGUGCACAAGGACUGCUCCAUGAGAUUGAUGUCUAAAGAAGCUGAAUGGAAUUCUCAACUUGAAAUCUUGAUGCAGAAGCUCAGUAGCUGCAGUUCUGAGUUAGAGAGUAAGAAUACAUUAAUAGACCAACUCAAAAUGGAAGCAGAAGCUCAGGAUUCCAUGAUAGCACAGCUAGCAUCGCAUAAUGAAGAAGUUACUUUGAUGGUUUUAUUGUUGAAGUCAGGGCUUCUGGAGGCCCAAAUGAAGCUUGCUGAUGCUUAUGUUGACUUAGAUCAUGAAAGGAAGAAAAGUGAACAAAGCCUCUCUCUGUUUAGAGGUCUUGAACGGGUGCACAAAUAUUGCUCCGAAAGACUCAGGUCUAAAGAAGCUGAAUGGAAUUCCAAAGUGGAAUGCUUGAUGGAAAAGCUCAAUUGCUGCAGUUCUGAGUUGGAGAGCAAGAGCACGUUGAUAGAUCGACUCAAAAUGGAGGCAGAAGCUCAUGAUUCCACAAUAGAACAGCUAACAUUGCAGAAUGAAGCAGCAGGUGUUGUUCUGUUAUUGUUGAAGUCAGGAUUUCUGGAGGCCCAAAUGAAGCUUGCUGAAUCCUAUGUUGACUUAGAGGAGACAAAAAAGAAAAGUGAAGACCGCCAAGCACUUCUACUAGAGCAAUUGGAGUUGAAGAAUAUUGCUCUAGCAAAAGCUCACUCUGAUACUGAGAAAGAACGCAAGAAGGUGGCCCAUUUAUCAGAGAAGGUGGAAUCUGUAACUUACAUUGAAGAACAGCAGCUUUUGCAACAUAAAGAGCUUGAAAGACUAGAAAAACUGCUCAGUGAAUCUUAUACAUGUCAACAUGGGUUAAAGAAGCAGGUACUCAGCAUGACUAUUGAGCUCAAAGAAGUUUGUAAUGCCCUGAAUGCUGCAUACCAAGAACUGGAUGACAAAACCUCCCGUGGAAUGGAAUUUGAAUUUGAGUUGCAAAUAUGGAAACCUUUUGCCCAGGGGUUGAGAGACAACCUUGAAGAAAAUCAUCAAUUGCAUAGAGAAGCGGAGGCCUCUUUUCAUGCACAAGUGAUGAGCUUGAAAAGUGACUUGAAAAAGGUUCGUAAGACCUUGGCCAGGGCAAAUGAAGAACUGGCGGCAAGAUUUUGUGAAGGAAACCAAGCUGAAUUUGAGUUGCAAAUAUGGAAAUCCAUUGCUGAACAGCUGAAAGCCAACCUUGAAGAUAAUCAUCACAUGCGUAGAGAAGUAGAGGCUUCUCUUCUUGCAGAAAUAUCUAUUCAGGUCAAUCUACGACAAGAGAGAGAUGGACUCCUGAACCAGCUAGAUGAAAAAGACAAGAGAUUAGAAGAAUUGGGUGAACGGAUCACUUUUUUGAAUCAGGAAAUUGAGACAAGAGCGAAAAAAGACGCAGCUCCUGAUUCGACAAAGAAUGCAAAGUUUUACAGUUCGAGAACCAGUCUUCAAAGUCCAGAUGGCAGCUCAGAUUAUUCACAGGAAGAGGAAGAGUGGGUGAAAAGACAGCUUGAAGGUGCAAUUUUUGCACAAGUCGAUGCAGAGCAGAACCACGAGCAUGAGAGAGAGAGCCUUCACCAUCUUGUGGAGGAGAGAGACCAGAGAAUAGAGCAUCUCCAGCAGCUUGUGAAGUCAUUGGAACAAGAGUUUGAGAGUUCAACCAGCUCCUUUUCCUCAAGGCUAUCGGAGAUGCAGGUGGAGAUUAAAAUGUUCCACGAUUUUUGGCACAAGAUGGCAACAACUUUGUUUUUGAAAGAGAUGGAAAUCCAGGAGAAGGACCUGAUUAAUGCUGAGUUGGAAAAUGACUUAAGUUAUCUGAAAACUGGUUCACUGGCGAAUAAAUCAGAGGUGCAGAUAUUGAGGGAUGAGCUUGAAAAGGAGCAGAGUAGGUCAGAUGCGUUGAUUCAGAAGCUUAAUGAGGAAAAGGGAAGGAUAAUUGAAGAUGUGGUGAAGUUGUCAUCAGAUAGGGAGAAUUUAUUGGACACUCUUGAGGGAUUGUAUGAAAGAAUGCAGAGGCUGUCUAUGGAUGAUCUGCAGCUAAUGGAAGGCUUGAGAAAUAUACUGCACAACUUCAAUUCAACUGAAUUAGGAAUAGACUUCAGAGGGGAGGAUGAAUAUUUUGACCCGGUGAAAGAGAACAAAAUCCAUUAUGCAUCUCCCAGAACAACAAAAGCUGAAGUCAUUCUUGAUGAAAGACUGCCGUUGAGAGCUGUCAACAGUGGACUGCUCCUGUAGAUUAUGUAAUCAAUUUUUUUUUUCAACAAACGGAUUAUGUAAUGUAUUCGCUACAUAAUUUUGUAGAACCCAUUUUUUUAUUUGGUUAUAUCACAUAUUGUUUCUGUUUUCUCCUGUUUGUAUUAUGAGUUUAGGUGAAUUCGAGUGCAAAGCAAAAUAGCAAAGCUUGGUACAAAUACAUCGAAAAAUUAUUUGUUAGCAUGCAAUUUUAUUCGCCAUAUCUCUCCUCGGCAUAUCUCUCCUCAAAAGGUUAAGCUGUAUGGCAAUUGUUGGCAAGGGAAACAAAAAGCUUGUUAUAAAGAUACUAAAAUUUAUUGCUUGUUUAUAUCAAAUGCCUGAAAAAAUAUGACAGAACUUUGAAAGAAAAAUGUUCAUUUUGAUCAAGCUCUGAUCAAAUUCCAAACACAGUUUAAGCCGGUACCAACAGGAUUUAAGCCUUGAGCCUUUUUCAAUUCAAUGUCAAAUAAAUUGAACCUGUCCUAUGUGAACGGUUGAUGCAGCCUCAAGAAUUCUGUAGUCAGUAUCUUAUGCUCUACACAUUCUACUUAUUAUCAAAAUACUAAUCUAGAUAACUAACUAGGGUGGUGAUUCAUGUUCAGACAAAUUAGUUUGAAGUAACAAAUGUCAGCUUCACUGAACAAGUCGCCGCAACUGCAGAGACGGGAUGUCUUAGCUCUGGGAUGAAUAAGGAAAAUCACUUUGUCUUUUUUGUUCCAUAUGAACUUGAUUCUUGGGAGAAUUCAACAAGUCCUUGCCUGAGAGCUUCUAGUGUAACUCCGUUAUACACUAAAAUACUCGUGACACCCAUUCUUGAGACCUGAAUAACAAUUUUAUGAGUUAGAAAGCAGUGUAAUGCAUCAUGCACAUUUGACCAUUCAGAGUUAAUUAGCAUGUGAGGAGGACUCUUACCGCUUCUAUGUUUCGAUCCUCAUCAUCAAAGAACAGCAUUGCAUCAAAUGGAAUUCCAGUCUUCCGUUGAAUUUUCUGCAGAUGCUGUGUCUUGUGAGUCCAACUAGAAAAAAUCUCCUGCAUGAAAAGAAGAAAAGAAUUACGAGAAAAUAUUGAUACUUUUGUUCAUAAGUAAGACAUGCGUCAAGAUCAAGGAUUAACUAAGGCCUAGAGGUAAAUGGCCUGGUUUUCUUUAUCUUUCUACCCUUCUCCUUGCCAUUUCUUUUCUCAAAAAGAAGGAAGACACAACGUAAGAGAAAAGGAACCCAAAGCCAUUGCACCCCUUUGUAAUCAGAUCCUGAUACAAAGUAUGACUUCAACAAGCUACUGUAUAGGAUACACAUUCAAACUACUAAGGCAUGCGGCAGGGAGUACGCAUGGUUGUCAACUCAGACCAUCUGAAUGUUAGGAUACAUAUGGUGGAUUAUCGUACAAAUACUCUAAAACUAUGAGCAAACAAAUGCAUGCAGAAAGUGUAGAUGUAUUUAACAUCAGGAAAGAAUAUACUAGUCUGUGUUCCCAUGCUAGCAUGUUGCAAAUUGCUGAUGAAAAUGUUUCCCAGUGUGCAAUGAGGAUUGCGAAUAUAAUUUGCAGGUAUAUUCUGAUAGAGUACCUCCGGACCAUGCGUCUGGGGAGAUGUAGAAAUUACUUUUCUCAGUAGGACAGCAUGACUACUUGGGCUAAACAAAAAUUUCUCCAGCACUUAAAUAGUUAAGAAUUCAUGUCAGAGACAAUUUUUAUGACAAAGAAAACAAACUUUUAUGACUUCCAUUCCAGAGACAACAUGAUUAUACUGUAAUUGGAAAUUUGUAUCUUCUGGUGGGGGUAACAUGCGUUCAACACUUAAAAAUAAGUUUUUCAACAGGGGAGAUGAAAUUUGUAGCUCUUAUUGUGUUUCUCAAAUUUCAUUUCGUAAGAGGUUUAUAAAUAGGAUUCCUCCUGCAUCCACCUCAGGAGUUCAUUUAACUGCAUCAAUAGAACUUGGAGAUUGCAAGACAGAAGUUGAUAGUAGCCUCUUUGGAGCCAAGGGUGAUAUAUAGACAUCAGAAUUACCACGAGGGGUAUAGUUCUUGUUGCAUUUCUCCUGUCUUCCUUUCUUAAGUGAGUGCAGGAAGUGGAGACAUUCAGACCUUAUUCCUUAUCUAACUUAGAUAGGCCAUACAAUCACGCACAAGUUCCAAACUCCCCUUUAUAGUUUUGCUUCUGGGAUGCUAUUGUACAUAAUACUUUAAAACUUUUACUCCUAGAAUCAUUCAAAGCAAAAACUAUAAAUAUGUUCAGCUGAGGCCAAGUAAAAACAUUACUUCUGUAAAGUAAGGACAUGGAAAAGAAAAUAAGCAGUUACCAUUAUAGGCUGAAAGAAGCCAAAAUGCGAAGGAAAAAUGCAUUUUCAGUUGGCUUACCUCGGCAACAAAGAUGGAUCUUAUACCCAAUUUCUCAAGAAAUGUCGUAGCUAUGUCACGAGCUGGAGAUCUUGAAGCAAUGGCAACAUCAAUUCCUCGACCCUUAAGAGCUUGAAUUAUUCCUCUUGCAUGAGGGUACAAAUUUGGGGAAUCACUCUCAUAGCAGCACUCACUAAGAAGUCACAAACUAUUAGUGCCAUGAAUGACCAACGAGUAAGAUUACACCAAACAAAAGGUCAACCAGCAUCAUCUAUAUAUGUGUUGUUAUCCAGCAUUGCAAUUCAAUGGGCCAAUAAACUGCUAACAACUGAUUGCAUAUUUGAUUUUAAAAUCCCAAUAUUCUUCUCCAAGCAGUCAAAUUCUUACUCAUCUUAUUUGGUUACUCGAUCUACUUGCUGAACAUUUUUCGUUAUACAUAGCCAUUCACUAUACACCCAUCUGAAGAAUUUGCUGAUUUGAUCAAAACCAGACAGUGGUAAAGUGAGGGUCCAGACAUCAAUUUGAUUGCUCUCUACUCUACCCACGUAAGCUAGUACAUAGGGCUACAAAAUGGAAGAGCUAAAUGCACAAAGAAUUGUAGAUAAUGAACCUGACAAGCAUAAAAAGCUCUUUUUUUUAAAAAUUUCUUUCCUCAUUCUGCAAUACGAAGCAAUCUCUAGAACUAACAUAAAAACAAUCAACUACAAUUUGUAAAUGACUAUGCAUAAAAAGAAAUGAAUUGGAAAGAACAAAUUUUGAAUAGGCAGGGCAAUGCUUCACUACCACGGACAUUUUGAUUAGCAUAUGCAUGCACUGCAACUAUCAAUUACAAAGAGAAAAACCUACCAAAAAGAUUAAAAAAAAAAUUAGACAUAGGACACUAAACCACAAUCCAAACAAAUCCGAAGUUUAAGCUGGAAUGAAUUUUAAGCUGAAAAAGGUCUUUUUUUUUGGCGAAAGAAGUUUGUAUUGAUGGAUGUGAAUAACAAGAAGGGUGUGGUUUAAACAGAAAACAUAUAUAUACCAGUAAAAAGGCCAGAGAGUGUAAUCAAGAUCGAAGACAACAAGGCGGGGAAGUUUCUGAUGAAGUCCCAGGAUUUGGUCUGCCUCUUCUUUCACUUUCUUGUCAUCCGCCAUUGCUAUCUUCUCUGCCCGCUUCGCGUGCCCAGAGGAAAGAGACAGAAAAGUGGCUUAUUUGAUCAAUGUUUGGUGGCGUGCUGUGGAGGCGGUUUUGUUGGUUGAUAUUUGACUAUAUUCAUUCUCAUUGGUUGAAGUUUCCAACAUUUUAGGCUGCUGUCUAUACUAUAGCAAUGAUUUUUUUUAAUAUUUUUUUUGGCACUCUUUAUUACCCCAAAAAAGGGUAGUAAUUUAUAUUCUUUUUAAUAUUUUCUCUGUUUUUCAGCUGUUUUUUUUUUUUUUGUCAAAUGUCAACUUCUAUAUAUUCUGUUUUUCAGCUGUCGCAUAACUUGCAUUUAGUGUUUCUUGUGUCCUUCCUUGUUCUUAUCUUAGCACUUCUUUAAUAGUGCGGUAUCUAGAUUACGAAUACUUUUUUUUUUUGUUAAGAAUACAUUUAAUUAUAACUUGUGACGGAUAUUUUACAUACGUGCAAGCUAAAAAAUACCGAAUUACACCCGUUCACUGCAAGUAUACAGAUCAACUAGUAGUUUAGGGUAUAUAUCAGGUCGAUCCCACAAGGAAGAGUGAACAAUUACCGGUAUUACUAAAGCUUCUCUAUUAUUUAGACUAUCAAUAAAUUAUAACAAAUUUAACCUACUGAAAUUAUACAAAAUAACAAAUAAAAACUCCUUAGGUUGUGGUAUCCCUAACUACUCAUGCAAGUGCUAUUUUUGGAUCAUUGAGUACUACAUCUAAGCUAGUUAUGGUGUAAUUUCCUUAUGCAUUUGAAACCUACUUUCGUAGUGAAUCAAUUAUACUCAUAACUAAUCCAUACCUAUUCUCAUGGUUAUGAAAUUAGCUACAAGUUUAUUUUUUCAAUGAAAUUACAUGAAAUUAAUCACCAAAACCCCAUAGGUGCACCUCUACUCUCGUGAGUGUACUCCCCAUGUUUAGCACUUAUUGAACUAAUGUUAAAUCUCAAUUUUCAUUGCAGAAAUAACACCUUAAAUAAUCACAAUUAAUGGUACCAGAUUAAUCAUGAUUUAAAGAACUAAAAUGCUAAAUAACUUGCUCAAAUACUAGCAAUCAAAUAGCCAAAUAAUAAAUACUAACAAUCAUAGGAAGUUCAACCAAACCCAAGGCAUAAACUUUAGAGACACAUAAAUAACACAAAAUCCAGAACUUGCAUAUUAACUAAAUUUGGAAUCAAGUACAAAAGAUAAAGAGUUGGAAAGGAAUGUAACCCAUGUCACUUGAGCUCAUCACCUUGACUUCUUCAUCUCCAUCUUGAUCCUAGUCUAGCAAUAUACAAGAAUGGAUGAACUACACUAGCUAAACUAUCCUACACAAAGGAAAUGGAAGAACUACAUUUCUGCACUUCAAGCUCUUUCCCCCGUAUGUCUUUUUUUUCUCUUCCCAAAUGUCUCUGCAUAUAAGCUGAUGAAAAUCUCCUUUCUAGUCCAAAAUUUCUGCUCUAAUGAUUCUCAAAUCUCCAUUUGUUAAGGAAGUCAAAAACAAUGACUUUUGACUUGGAAUAAGCCAUAUUGUGUGCUCUUUUUGUCUUCUGAAGCAUGUGCACCGAAUUCACUUGCAACUUAUAGCUGGAAAGUAGUCUGAACACAAAAGAAUUGACUGAACAAAUUGCAGAAUUUCGGCCAGAAAACGCGCCUACACAAAACGCGGUUACAAGUCACGUUUUGUGCACUCGCGUAUUCACUUUGGCCUUACUUUAUCUGCGAUUUUCUCUAUCAUCAAGGCCGAACUGGCUUUUGUGAAAAACACAAAAGUUGUAGCCCUUUGAGUUAGCUUUUCAAUGCUUCAAGAAUCAUCCAAAUCUGAUCUUUGUAGCCUGAGAUAUGAUCCAAAUACUAAACACUGGUCAGAGCUCUGUUUUCCACUUUGGACAGCUGAGUUGAAUUUCGGUAUGUCAACUUUUGGGCUAUGAAAACGGCUGAAUUGUACUUUGAUGUCUUCAUACCAAAUGUAGAUCUCUUUCUUAGCUUUAAAUUGGUAUAAAGAUCACCUCAAUCCGAUCAGUAUAGCUCCAGAUAUAGUCAAAAUCCUGAAGAGUGUCAAAACUGUCUUGACUUGCAUUUCCUUACUUAAACGUUUUUCACUUCAUUUUUCUUUUUACCACUUUGAAUUCAUCACCAAAUCUCUAUUUUUCACUUCAAUUGACAUCCUUUGGUGGUUAAAUCAUCAUUCCUGCAUAAAAAUGAAGUUUUACCUAUUAAAAUCAAUAGAAAUGCAAUAUUAGCCACUUUUACCAAAAAUGUAUAUUUUUACCAAAACCUUAGUUAUUUUAAUUAUAAAACUAAAUAAUCAAACCAAAUUAACUAAUAAAAUGCACUUAAAAAUACGUAAAAUAAAUCCUUAUCAACUUGUUUUUUGUUAAGAAUAAUUAAAGCAUAACUUGUUUUUUGUUCCUUGUUUUAAAAUCCAAUUUGAACCGAUCGAUCGGAUCGAUUGAACCAUCGAUUGGCCUGUUUUUCGAUCUAGAUUAAGUUUAAAAACUAGUUAUCAUCAAUUUUACAUUAAACUAGUUGAAUCACUUAGUUCAACCAUUGAACUGUUGAACUGAAAUGGUUUUGUGACAAUGGUUGAACUGAAAUGAUCUUGUGAGAACUAGUCAGUUCAACAUCCAACAUUAAUUAAACCAACAAUUUUGAAUUUAGUCAAUUAAUCUCAUCAAUGACAUUUCAAAUUUAAUAGUUUAUCAAUUACCCAUGCAUAAUUAUCUUCAAUUAAUUAGACAAUUUAACAAUUAUUGUCUUAUUCUAUUCAUUUAUCUCUCUCCUCCAUAAUUAUAUAUUAACUAUUGUCUAACAUUUAUGACAUAUAAUUGGCUAUAUUAAUUUUUUUUUAAAUCUUGAAUGCAUGUCAUUUAUUUGUUAAUGUCUUUUAAGUUUUUUAUUUUUUCAUAUAAACUAGUACUCAUAUAAUUUAGAGAAAUUAAAAAUAUAUGAAAUAAUACUAUUUAAAUACCUUUAACUUAUAAAAGCUAUUUUUGAGUUUCAAACAAAUAAUACUGGGUUUGUUUGAAUAGUGUAUUAUUUGAGAUAUUAUUUGGAAUAAUUACUGUAAUACUUUUUGUGAUAUGAUGUAUGCGAGAUAAAAAAAUAGUUGGAAAUAUAAAAAGGUGGGUUGGGAAAUGUGUAUAAACAAACUCACAACUACUUAGAAGAAUAAAAUGAGAAUUCAAAUGAUUAUAUUAAACAGUAUGUAACCACAAGUCCUCCUGCGCUGGUACCCACAUAAACUAUAAGGAAAAUUCUCCAAUUUCCACUUGGCAAGAAUAUGCCCAGGCAUUACCGCGGGACCCACUCAACCCGGAGUAAUAUUCACGGCCUCAUUAAGAAAAAGGGGGGAAAAAAAAAAGAUUCACGGCCUCCCCCGCCAUCUGACUCCUAUUUUCUCCGCCGGAGACACCUUACAACCACCCCUUUCAUUAACUCCACAGCUAUCUAGUGCCAGGUACCAACCGACGUCGUUUUUUCCCCCUCUUUUAGUUUUACUUCAAUUAUAGUGCAAAAAAGUUAUAAGUUAGUUAUUUUUUCUUCAAUUAAAUUUCUUCUUGUUCAAGGAUUAGAUUAAUUACUAACUACGGAAAUGUUUAUUGACCAUCAAUAAGGAUUUCCCUACUUUUUUAUUGGAGGAAAUAAAACCCUAGGUUCAUAUUUGGCUUUUUUUUCUUGUAAGUGAUUAUUUUUCUUUCUGUGUCUGACUGACAAACCUUCUUGAGAGAACAGGUAGGGAAAACUGUUGUAAAUGACCGAGAAGUAUUUUUGGAUAUGUGCGGAAUGUUGUGGUUUAUGGUUUUGAGGCAUUUUUAUGGGAAAUUGAAUAAAUUUCAGAUUGAUGAUGGGUUGAAGGUGGAAUUAUUGAUGGAUUUAUUCUCUGUGGUCUUUUGCAGGUUAUUGGGAAAAGGGGCUGUGAAGAUUUAUUCAUUGAAUACUGAGGAUUUGUUAAUAAAGACGGAUCGUUUUUAUGCUGCCUGUUUUUCAAAGUUUUUAGAUUUGAUCACUAAUGGCUGCUGCUGGUUCUUUGCAACUUUCCCAUGAAUUGGAAAUUUGCAGGAACCAUGUAUGCAAUAAGCAGUCGCUGGUACAGAUGCUUAUUUUCAGUCACCGUUAUAGUUUGAUCUAACUUUGUUUUUUAUUUUAUUUUAUUUUUAAUUUUUUCCUCUUACGGAUAAUAGUAUCAAUGUGCUCUGCUGCAGAAUGUAACUGGAGGAUGCAAAACUUACUUUCUUGGCAGCAAUUUUACAUCACUUAUUUUGGUACUGUUUUCUUGCUUUUGCGAAUUUACUCUAUGCUUUGCUUUAUUGGUGGUGUUACCUGUUGGAGUUGAAUGUGUAGGUUCAUCAAAGGGGGCGUUUUGUCUAGGAUCAUUUGUAUGUUACAAUGUUUGAAUACUACAAAGAUGGAUUUAGCAAUUUAGUUAUGAUUUCUAUGUUGGUUUAUACUGGUGAGCUUACUUGGGGAUUGACUUCUAUUCAAUUCUUCCUGUGGACUUUAGUUUUGACUGUGCUAGGAGCGUCAUUGACAGAGUUGGAAAGAAACUAGAAUGCAAUUUUGAUGUAAUGAUUUCUUUCUUAAGGAGAAUUAUUUGAUCCCUGACUUGAUUUGCUUUUCUACUUGCUCCUAUUGCUAAACCUUCUUACCAUAGCCAAAAAAAAAAUUGAAAAGAAAAAAAUAAAGAACAAGAAGAAGGAGAAGUUUGGCUUAAUUUGGGUCAGCAGAUUUAUAAACUCUGUUUUAAAUUAAGCUUUGGGUACUGUUCUGUUGAACUUAUCGAGCUGCCUAAUCUGACUCUUGAUAUCCUCCUUCUCGCUGGGAUAUAUUCUCUAUAACUCAAGGGGAGAUUUUAUUGGUAUCUCAUUGAAACCCAUGCUAUAUGCAAUUUGAAUUUUGGGGGUUAUAAGCUGCUAUAAUUAAUUUUUGGUACAGCAUUCUAUCUUUGUGGUUUGCAUGGUUUUGUUUAUUUGCAUGAUGAAAUUUGAGAUACUUCUCCAUGCCAUGAGCAGACCUGACAGUCUCCCUUUUUUGCCUUCCAGAGGCGAAAUUCUUGGACUCCUCAACUUUCGACCAGAUUACGUUGGCAGACUAACUCUCUCCCUUACAAAUACUAUCAGUUCAAGUGUUACUCUUCACUAAGUCCUGGCCCCUCCUUUGACAUUUCCACGGUUAAGAAUGUUGCCUUAACACUAACAAGGUAAUUGUUGGAUUUGGGCUUCAUUUCAUGUUUGCCUUGAAGUCCAAAUUUAUGCAUGUGUUGUAGACUUUUUUUUUCCUGCAUAUGCUAUCAUCUGUUCAGGAAAUUCUGAUAAUUGAUAACUGUUUGCAUGCAUAUGCUAUCAUCUAUUCAGGUAGAAGAAUGAGAAAUUCGUAAAAUUCAAAUAGAAAGGGAGUCGGAUUCAUCAAUGUAGCCUUAACUACUUGACAUAAAUGAAAAUGUAGUAUGAUUGAUAGAUCAAUCAUUGGCUAAAUCCUAAUGUGGUUCCAAAGAACAUUGCUUGGCGGUAAUUGAGGCAGGUUGUGUGAAAUAUACAUAUUAUUUUUGGGACCUUAGUCUCUUAACUACAUGCUUAUUAAUUGAAAUAGGAGCAUCAAUUUUAGAUUUGUUAGGGCACUCUAUCAUUAUCCAUAAAAUCUGAUCUUUACCUUCGUUUUCACCUAGAUUUGGUAUGAACAGCGUGAAGGUAUGGGAACUGAACAUGCAAGUAAAAUUGGAAAAUGAAUGCAACUCAGAGUCAUGGUCACUUUAUUUGUUUAUGGAGCUAGCAGUACUUCAGGCUCAAUUGCAAAAAUUUUUAGCCAUGGUACCAGAUCUGUAGUCAGCUGUGACAAAAAUUGUUACUUAAAAACAUAUCGAGUAAAUGUUGAUACUGAAGUGUUCCUUUGAGUCUAUUAUACAUUGUCUCAUAUUCCAUUGUGUUGAGUUUUUACUUGAGCUGUUGCUUUUUAGUGCUUCUGGAUGGUUGUGUGUUUUUUGAAAAAGUGCUUCUAAGUUUCUAGAAGAUUCAUUAGUUACAGUUUGGUUCAAAGUAUAUUUGGAUGAAAUUGAAAAAUUGGAUAUUGCACACUGGAAAAAGUUUGAUAAAUGUCACCCCAUUUCUAAAUGGCUGUUAGUUUUCCACCAUGUCUUUUAUUGCUUUUUUUUUCCUCACUAUUUUUGUUUAAACUUGACAAGCAGGUCAUGCAACAACUUACUGGGUAGUCCUUUGGUGAAUAAGCUGUUUCCUGCAGUAGGUAUAGUUAUUUUUACAUUAUGGGGUCUUGGGCCACUCAUGCGGCAAAGCAGAAAUAUAUUUCUUCAUGUAUGCACUCAUCUCUACCUUCCUUUCACAAAAUUCUUUCUUCUGUUUGUGCUGUCCUGUUGUUAAUUAUAAAUUCCAUGAUCUUGCAGAAGAGUGAUAAUAGUUGGCAAAAGAGUAGCACGUGUUAUGUUUUGACCUCUUAUCUUCAACCAUUUCUGCUAUGGAUAGGGGCUUUACUUGUCUGCAGGUUAGUAUAUUCAUUUGGAAGAUGAACUAUCAUUUGAUGAGAUUAACAAUCAUGUGACUUGGCAUAUUCUGAAUAUAUUGACUUUGUCUACAGAGCAUUGGAUCCAGUAGUUCUUCCAACUGAAGCUAGUCGAAUUGUCAAGCAACGGCUGUUAAAUUUUGUAAGAUCAUUGUCAACAGUUUUGGCAUUUGCCUAUUGUUUAUCAAGGUGAGUGAUGUUCGUUGCAGCUCUAGUUUAUCUGAAAAUUUUCUUAAUUGCUCUAAAUGUGUCGAUAUAAAUUUCUGGCCCACUUCUGGGACUUUGUAGAGUUGAUGAUAUUGGUUCUUCUUGAGCUUCAUUGGACCAUAGUUUAAGAUCUGUGUUGAAUCACUUUACAUUUUUAGUCAAUUUACCUAAAUUCUAGUAAUUAUGUGUAAAAAUUUGUGUAUUAUGUUUUUGUAGAACUGAAUUUUAACUUCUUUUGGCACCAUUCUCUUGCUUUCUAAGGUGCCAGUUAUUUUUCUUUCUUGUUUUAUCUUGUAUUGGAUUUCCAAUUCAGGUCAAACUGACACUACAUUUGUGAUGGCUUCUUAUGGAACUAAGCAGCUAUUGAUAAUUUUUUGCAGUGUUAUUCAGCAAGCACAGAAGUUUUUUAUGGAGACAAAUGAACCUGCUGAUACUAGAAAUGUAUGUACAUAUGAUAUUUAUUGCAACAUGCUUCAAUUUUACUUUUAAAUCCUCUCAAAGACAAAUUAGCAAACAUUACUAGAACAGCAUGGAUUUUACUCUUUUAGUUCUUGUAGUGAUUGAAUUUACCGGACCAAAAUUUCAUCACAACUGAGGCUAUUUCUCUUCUAUAUUUCUACAGUUCCGGUUGUGGAUAUCUAAAAAAAUUAGUAGUCAUAUUUUUGAGAAUCCUCUAAAAUUUUGCUCAACUUUGUGUUGUCCGACUUGAUGUGCUCGUGAUUUUUUUUUCCCCUUCAUUCAUCAAAUCAUCCAUGUUACUCCUGUUGUUUGGUAAUCAAAUCUCAUGUAGCUUUCUUAUAGUGCAUAGAGUUUAGGUGCCAUCAAUCUAGACAAGUCUUGAGGUACAACUUGAACAAGUGGAAUUUUUAUUCGUGCACCUAAGUAACAUCUCCUGCUGCACAUUCUCUGUAGCAUGCCUUUCCUCCUAGGCAGGUUGGUUGAAUUGAAUACUAAUAGGCAGAAAUCACAAGAUGCUAGUCAAUCAUCAUGUACUCUAACUAAAUCACUAUGCAGGAAAUGUAUCCAUAUUUUUUCUGAUGCCAGUUAUUGCAUUGAUUAUGCUUUUGUCAGUUUAUUAGGCUUUUCCUGCUGGAGCAUGGUUUUUUAGUUUUCUAAAUACGAUCUGGUUGUAUCAUGUGCUUGUAUCCUCUUUAGUCUUGCACUCUAUUAUUUUCAUUCGAGGAGACGGAAUGAGCUUUUCUGAUGUCUGCUUAUAAGAAUUUUUAAUGAAGAAUACAGGAACCAAGAACAAAUGGAGGCAGCAUUUGUAGUUGUCUUGGUGAUGUAAACUAUUAGGAUUUCUUGCUUAUUUGCAGAUGGGCUUCCAGUUUGCGGGAAAAGCUGUAUACACUGCCGUAUGGGUUGCUGCUGCCUCAUUGUUCAUGGAGUUGCUGGGUUUCUCAACCCAGAAAUAUCUCACUGCUGGAGGGCUUGGUACUGUCUUGCUAACACUUGCUGGUCGUGAGGUAUGAUUUAGAUGUCUUUUUUUCUCAAGCGUUUAUCCUUUUUCUAGUUGCAAUUUCUUUACUUGGUCCAGGGAUCUUGGUAGAUUUACACAUAUUUAAAACAUGAUUUUAUGCUUCUUGUGUACUUCAUUUGAAUUGUUUCUGCUGUUACUAUGCUCAGAUCUUCACCAACUUUCUUUCAAGUGCAAUGAUUCAUGCGACACGGCCAUUUGUUGUGAAUGAAUGGAUUCAGACAAAGAUUGAAGGCUAUGAAGUUUCUGGUACUGUCGAGGUUGGUAUUUUGGUUCUCUGCAACUUCUCCCGCUGUAUUUUACUACUUCUAGGUGAAGAAGGGUUGAAGGAGAGUAUCGAGAGAGAAAAUAUUUCUGUUCUGAGAUUUUUUUUUUUUAUUUUAUGGACGGACUACAGAGUGCUGUAGAUGCACCUUAAAUUUUUCCGAAGUUGAUUUAUGAAAUUGUAUUUUUGGGAAGAGAAAAUACUCCCAGAACUUUCUUGGUUUUCUUUUUGCAGACUUUAGUAAAUUUUUCCUUUUUAUCUGUAUUUACGUCUUUGACAUUUUGCAGCAUGUGGGGUGGUGGUCACCAACAAUUAUAAGGGGUGAUGAUCGCGAAGCUGUUCAUAUUCCGAACCACAAGUUUACAGUCAAUGUUGUCAGAAAUUUAAGUCAAAAAACUCAUUGGCGGAUAAAAACUCAUCUAGGCAUCAGUCACUUGGAUGUGAACAAAGUCAACGUGAGGCCAGAUUCUGGUUAUACUUACCUUGGAAUGGACCAAACUUUUGAAUUUUGGUGUUGUUUUCUAAACUUUGACAAUUGACAUUUCUCUUCUUUUUUUUUUUGGGCAGAGCAUUGUUGCUGACAUGCGCAAAGUUUUGGCAAAAAAUCCCCAAGUUGAACAACAGAAGUUGCACAGAAGAGUAUUUCUGGAAAAUAUUAAUCCAGAAAACCAGGCCUUGUUGGUCAGUUUUAACUCUUGAAUUCUUACUUGCUGUAUGUGUUUGUUCAGUUUAUGCAACUGCUAGAUCUAAGGUCGCUUAACAUGAUUAUAAGGAUUAACGGAUGUGUCUGUACUUCGUCUAUUAGCCAAUAAAAGUUCUGACUGCAUAUGGUCUUGCAUUCAAUUGACUUUUCCUCCAUGCCUAUUAAGAUGAGAACUUCCCAUUCCUUUUCUGUUCAGAUGUUGUUCUGUUUUAACACUUAAAGAAUCUGGCACCUUUUUGCUCAUUGAUAAACCAAAAAUUUACUACCUUCCCAUAUCAAGUCCUGCUGACAUUGUGGCAAGAGGUUGAAAAUACUUAAAUACUCAUGUUUUCUGUUAUUUGAAGCUUUUGUGUUCACCAGGACUCUUUCAAUUUUAUAGAUUUUGAAAACUUUAAUUGAUCUAUCAUCUCCAUUUUGCAGAUCUUUGUCUCAUGCUUCGUGAAAACCUCUCAUUUUGAAGAGUACCUAUGUGUGAAGGUGAGACGAAAAUUUUGUCAGAAUUCCAUUUAGUCAAUACUGGGUCAAAGUGGUGCGGUAUUGUUCUAUUGAUGCACUGUUAUUUAAAAUACAAGCAUGAGGAUUAUUGAAUUUCUUGUUACUCACAGUUGAGCUCUGGCAUUGAUGGAAGGCAUGAGAUACAUGUUAGGGAACUGAAUAUACAGAAAAGAUAAGCAAAUAGCUUGAUUAGUUACAAUACAACUGUGCUAGUAAACUGCAGCUGCUUUUAAAAGUCAUCUCCUGCAGUAAUGUUUGGUUGUGUGACUGAACAUAGCUCAGCUAUUUACCUUUAAUGCAUUUAUUAACUAAAAACGUAAGCAGAAGUUGUUCCAACUUGACUCCAAAUGGGAGUACAUCAUGUUCUAAGUUGGAAAUAUGCAAAGAUCAGCUAACUUGGUUUCAUUUUUCAUGAGAAACAGGAGACUAUAAUGUUGGAUUUGCUUAAAGUCAUCCGGCAUCACCGAGCUCGACUUGCCACUCCAAUCCGUACAGUUCAAAAAAUAUACAACGAUGCUGAUAUGGAAAAUAUACCAUAUGGGGAUUCCUUCUUUGACAGGGGGACAGCACCAAAGCGUCCAUUGCUUUUCAUUGAGCCCCCUUAUAAAAUCAUCAAUGGAGAAGAAAGGAAGAAAAUAGAUGGUCGAUCAGUUCGCGGAAGUGGUGGAGAGGAUGGCAAGGCUACAGUGAGGCGAAUACCAGAUACUAAGGCUGAGGGUAGAGGUGGAACAAAUCAAGGUUCUGAUUCUAAAUCUAAAGAGGCACCUUCAUUUAAGGCAAAAGAGACAUCAGCAUCUGAUUUGCAAGCUGAUACCAAGGUUGGAGAAAUGUCGAAUCCUGAUUCCAAAGAGGGGGUCUCGAAAGUUGAAGCAAAGCCUUCUGCGGAUCCAAAAGUCAGUGAUAAAUUUCAAGUCAAAACGUCAUCAGCUGGAACAAAGAGUGAAAGCAAGUCAACUGAAUUGCCUACUGUUGACUCAAAGUUGUCAGCUGAUAGCAAAAUUUCCAACAAAAGCCAUCCUGCAAAAGCUGUCCAGGGCGGUCCUAUGGGCAAUGCUGCUGGAAAUGCAUCAACUUACUUACCAGAGCAUGGAGGCGAGAAACCAGCUACCACAUCCUCUACCAAGCAAUUGAAGCAAGAAGAUGAUAGGCCACCCCAUUCACAGCCAUCUUCAACAAAACCUGUCAUGGAAGAGAAUAUUGUUCUCGGCGUUGCUUUACAGGGCUCAAAGAGAACGCUUCCAAUUGAAGAAGGCAUGGUUCCCCAACCAAAUUCUUCGGAACUGAAGGAACUGGCUAAAUGUCACAGUGGCAACGGUACUCCAUUGGUAGACAAGGACAAAAAGGAGAUUGUACAAUCAGAGAGUGCUAAGUCCGCUUCUGAUCAGUUGGAUCAGCAAGAGUAAUGGGCUUUUGAUUGCUCUAUUGUUGGCUUAAUCAACAGAAGUUGCAAAGCCCUCCUUUGUAUGAGGCUACAUUUCUCAUUGACUUGUUAGUCGCUAUAGCAAGAUUAAACAUUUUGUUCUGUGUAGAUCACUAGUAGGGAACUCGUUGCAGUUAUCCAGUCGCUUGUAUAUACUAAACAGUAUUCGGAUCAAGAGAGAGAAUAGAAAAAAUACUUAAAAGUGAAAUAAUAGAGAACAACUAUACAUCAGUGUGAAUAUUUUUGCUAUUUCAUUGAUGUCAGCUGCUGGUUUUGCAAUGGUAUGUUCAAGAAUUAGCACGAUGCUGCGUCCUAUUGCUGUCUUUUUAUUUUUAUUUUUUUUGAAUUAUUAUCUUUUGGCUUUAAUCCUGUGAAGUGGAAGCGAUAGGCACUUGCUUCUUCUCCCAGCAUUGUCUUGAUAAUUUGACUUGAGCAACUUACCCCCCCAGCUUUUCCAUUGAUAUUCCUCUCUCUCUGUACCUGGUAUCUGGCAUCAAUUUUUGUGUUCGUUCAUUCGUCAUUGUGUUAAUUUAGAAUUGUAGAUCAAUGAUAGAUGUUGUCUUAUGAGGACAUGCUUUUCACCUACAAUUUGUGCUAGCAAGGCACUGAAACAUGGAGCUGCAUCAACAAACGAGACUGCUGCACACACCUUAUGACAGAAAACUAUGAGAGCAUUUAAAAAAAAAAAAAAUACACUCCAGGUCUUUAAUUUAAUGUCUUCAAUGAUCACAGCCUUCUUCAUCCUCUUGUAUGCCAGCUACAAUCGGAGAGUUUCAUUAGAUUCCUCGACUUCAAAUCUCUGUUCCAGCCUUGUUCCCUAGAUGAUUUGACUGAGAAUGGUGCCCCGUGAAAGGAUGCCUUUAUUUAGCUGUUGCUCAUCUGAUGUAGGGACGUCUGCUCCUCCUCUUUAUAUAGUACAUGUUUUGAUAACUAUUUAUACAACUAUUUUCCUUUUUUAUUUAAAAAAAAAAAAUAACUACGCUGCACAUCUUCCUUUUCUUUUGGUUUAGCUCAAAAUUUCUAUUUGUUUAUUGCUUUACUUAUUGGUCAAUCAUUAUAACAAAUCUUCUCUGUUAAACCCUUAAAUGGAGUUUAUAAAAUUUAGCAGCAACAACGCGUACACAUCACAAAUAGCUUUUCGCAUGUAACAAUAAUAAUGUAAAGACAAAAAAAAAAAGGAGCAUCGAACUGCGAACUUCUUAGUAUUAUAGUUCUACCAACCUUUUUCAAAGGGUAACUCAUCAUCAAUUUCUCAGCCGACAAAACUUUCCGCUUGUUUUUCAGGUCACGGAGGGCUAAAAGCAUAGAUGCAACACAUGCAUAAAAAAUAAGCAAGCAAAAAAGGUUUAAUGAUUAUGAUUAAUCAUUAGUUCCUUUGCUUUGCUGUUCCCAUUUUCUCAACGAGAUUUUCAAGAAUCAUGUGAAAACUAGGAAUGGAUCUAGCUUUUUCCAAAAUUACUAUUCUUUUUCUCGACAAACCAUUAAGUUUAAAGGACCUUCUUGAUGAAUGUACAAUCCAGGUUGGCAAGAAAAGCACAUCUCACCAGCAAGAAUGGUCCAUAAUUCUAGGCCUUAUGUCAUUUCAAUCAAUGCUGAACUGUCGUGGGCCUAUGACAAUUUCCUUGAUGAGCUGUGUGUUCCCUUGGACAAAAAAAUCAAUCACAUAAAUGAAUGGUAGCAUGAUACAAGAGAGCUUUUUGUCUUUGAUAGGCUAUUCAAGAUUCUGCUAUCAAUUCUGACCAAACAGAGCACAACCCCACAUUCUACUAAAGUCUCUCUCACUCCCUAUCAUAUAUAUCUCACAAGUGAAAAUAACACGAAUGGCUGUAUGGAUUAUACCAGAGGAGGGGUCGCACUUUAUUCCCACUAAUCACUUAUUCCUUCUAACAUCAGCCAACACAGCUAAUAGAUGCAUGUACACUAGAGGGCAGGCAUCAGUGGCAGCUAAUUCUUCAAUCCAAGAACACUAGAAGCAGUAGUAUUAUGCUUGGCACAUGCAAUCAGGAGCAGGAUAGGUAUAAAGGGACUGCUCUUUUUUGCGUAGUCUGAUAAUCCCUUGUCUAUUUUUAUGGCCUUCAAUUAUUGCCUCUUGGAACUCAGGCCAAGUCAGGUUUUUGUUUAGGAAGAGAGGGCCUAACAAUGCCAUGUUAGGCCUUAUGGUCUUCAUAUUGAUAUAAGUUCGAUGUCCCACCUGUACAAUUUCAACAUUUUAUUAGAAUCAGAGUGUAUUGGAAGAACUUAAAAAGGACAGAAUCAGCAGAAAUAGCAGAUUUUGAACGUUAUCAGACAAAAAAUGAAAGCUGUAAUAAAAGUUGCAAGUAAAUUCCUCAACUAAACUGCACUUUCCUAUAAUAAGAAUGACCUCAGGUAGUAAUUAUAGACUUAGAUUCUGCAAGUAAAUUUUGGCCGAAACUACUUUUCAACAAAUUCCAUGGAAACUACUUUUAACCCACCCUCUCCUGCAAAGGAAAUAUCUCUAAUAAAGAAUUUUGGUCACAGAAGCGAAAUUAUAUAGUGGCAAUUAGCUGUACAUCUUACCAUGGCAUUGUGCAUAUUUCCUGGAGAAGCAGAAACAAAUAUAUCGCUAUGCAUGCUGACAUAGUAAUCAACCGCAGCUAAUAAGGAAGCUUUUCCUUUAAUCUUGACUCUUUCCUCUGAAGACGCAAGGCUCUUCUUAUCUUCCAUAAGCGGGAACAAGCUUCGUAGGGUUGAAAUCCUGGCUUCGCCACCAUAGACCUGGAAAGGAUGAUACGGCUAACUUCAGAAACCAUGGAUGAAUACUUUUGUAAAGUAAAUCUAAGCUUUCAAGCGGUAAUUAUAAUGUUUAGUAUAUUAUGAUGGCUCCAAUAAUACAAACCUUAUGGGACGCCAGAUAUAGGCGGGUAUUGUUGUCAAAUCCCAAAGCUGCAAGCACAAGUCCAAUCUCUUCUGGUGUCAAUGGGCACCGCCCCUGGCUUCUCAACUCCUCAUCAGUAAAUUGAGAAUUCAAGACCCUUCCUUGCCAUAUUACUUGGCGAUACUUUGCCAAAGCCAGUUUUUCAGCCUUGCCCCCUCCAAAAUCACAAGCUGAAUGAGCAGCCAUAUCCUACAAAAGUAAGCCGGUCAAGGAGGAGUGAAGACAUGGAAUGCAAUGCAGAGACAUCCUCGGCCAAAAAGAUAUGUUGCAAACUAUUAUCUGAUAAAGAUGUUAAUCUCUAUUUGCCUGAAGAUUCAACGAUACCUUAUCAAACCGAAGAUGUAGGACAACAAACUUCCCUGCUGCCUGGUCGUCUCUAGAACCACUAACCUCCCUGAUGUAGUUAUCACCCACCAUCUCAUUCCUGCUAGGGGAAUACCUUAGGCGACUGACAAGAGCGUCUCCAAGAGCUCUGAUGUGAGGCACAAAAACUAAGGCUUGAAAGUUCACUUUGCAGCGCAAGCGUUGGACUUCCAUAGGCAUGUUGUCAAAGUCCAAUCGGUGAGAAAAUGGAGCAAUUGCGGCAACCCCGUAGCUGACGAUUUUCAGCAAUGCUUCAGUGUGUCAGUGGAGGUUCUUAAAGCAAGUGACGGCUACUUAUACAACUAAUAGGUCAGAAAACAAAUUGAACACAAGUAUCCAAAUGGGCAGACUUUUUGUUCCCAAUUCUUCUAAAAAUCAGGGGAACAAAAUAUAUCCAGUUUCAAACAAAUCAUAUAAGAAUUGCAUAGUUCAAACCUUAAUGAACUAACAAUUUACAAUAAACAGCAUUCUUUGGUGAUAAAAAAUCCAUUUGUUGCUCUAAUUUUCAAAGAAAAACUUCAAGUUUUUCACCAACCUUUGCAGGACAGGCAAGACAUUCUCCAGAUACCAAUGAGCUGAAGCACGAACAGGAGCUGUUUUAAUUCUGGUAGAUCGAAUGGCUGCAGCAUAAUACUCCCGAGUGCUCCAUGAGUAUUCAUCAGGCAACUCCUUAACUACACGAAUAUCAUCUUUAAGUACGCUGAUGAAGUGAUCCACAUCAAAGAUUUCCAUAAAUGUGCUGCAAGAAGAAUGCAGAGAGUGUGGGCCAUUUCAUCUAAAUAGUUCAUAGCAACACUACUGCAAAAAUCUCCAAAAAAAAAAAGAACAAAUUUACAGCAAAAGCAAUUUCUUUAGAAGGACCUUGAAUCUUGCCAAACAGGGUUGACUUCCAGAUAAGGGAUAACAAGGGUUGCAUUCAGAAUUUUUGCAACAGCAACAGCAUCACAAAUCUGUUCUAGACAACAAAAAAAGUAUUAGGGAAUAUGCAAAUCCCAGAAAAAAAAAAUUUGUAGUUGCAUAAGUUGUGCUUUUUGUUUUUGCACUGAGCUAGUGAGAUAACUGUUAAAGCUUACCCCCAUUCUCUGCUGAUUCAGUCCGCCAUCUAGGAACACCUGAAUGUAACCUUCUGAUGAUUCAGGCAAUCCUGGUUUUAAAAACAAAAAUUAUGAAGUCCAUCAAGGAAGAUCAACGGAAUAAUCUUUAUAUACGUAUUGCAUGCCACAAAUUUAAAUCUCACCCCUAAACAAAUAUCUUAAAUAAUGUACAGCUACUUCAAAAUUCUGUCAAAAAACCCUUUUCACCACUUACUUGAUGCCAUGCCCGAGACUUUGCACGUUUUCCAUUCUUGUUUAGGCAAUGGUGUCCAUAAUUCAGACUGCUGCUCAAGUGACUAAACAAGAAAGGACAUAAAAUACUAAAUAAACAUUUCUAGUAAGAGAAAUUUUCAAGUAUACUUAGUAAAGGCUUACAGUUUCACGCUGCAAAGCACCCUUGAGUAGACGUGAAUGCCUAGGUUUUGGAGUAUUCCACUCCUGCAGAAAGAAAUUAAGUAAUGAAUAAGUGAAUUUCAAUUGGUUUAAACAUCCAAGUACAAACACUGAGCUAACUAAAACAGGUUAAUAUGCAAAUAUGGCCAUCACUCCAUAAUUCCGAACAUAAUCUAGGUUUGAUGUGAAUUUAAAUAUCACUUAGCAAACAACUCUAUACUAUGGCAUACCCUAUUGAUCUAGUUGCUUUAGAGAUGUGCCAAAGGACACAGGCAUGCGUACUAGGAUUAAGCUAAGUCUUUUUCAAUGUCAUUUGGUAACAAUUAUCUAAUUAUGCCAUCAAAGGAAAAGCUAUAGGACAUUACCAGCAGAAUUACGUCAUUUCAAGCCAAGCAACAACUAGUUCACCCCUUCAUGCUUUGCCAACUUAGCUCGGAAACUCAUUAUACUUCUCCUAAACCUAUGUUAAGUAACCUACAAAAGAACUAGGCAAAUUACUUAAAACAUGUUAUCCUGGAUGACAUAAUGCUCCGGGGGCUAUUGACUAAGGAGGAUUUUAGCUAGCAGAGUCUCCCUUUUCCGUAGACCAUGUAAUACCCCUUAAAACUAAGGGGGAAGACAGAAAGAAAAAUGAAAACUCCAACCCAAUCCCCCUCCCAAGAUAGAACUCAUUUCUCAUUUUUGAGUACUAAUUGUGUCUCCAUACCACCACAAAUCAGUUGACAUUUUACCAAUCCCAGCCAAGCACAUCCAAUUCACCAAAUGCAUAAGAAAGAUUCAGUCAAACACAUCAAAAUACUUUUGCCCAGAAAUCUGAUUUGAGUUGCAAAUAAUCCAUUACCAUACAGCAACGGGGCAAAAUUCCUUCCCUUGAGAACUUUAUGACCAUAAUUAACGACCCUCUUCACGACUUGCCACUUUGGUAAUAGAAUCCAUCAAAUUCUUUUAAGUGACAGAUAUGAAUGAUAAUAGCAGUAUCCACAAACAAAGGCUUCACCGAACUUCUGAUUAGGUAUUCAUUCUAAAACCGAGAUUUCUACCUACUCGCUCCUAAACUCAUAAGCAAAUAAACAAACUUCCCUUCUAAAAAUUUCACAACACUACAUAAACGAUCGUGUCUUUUUCACGUAAUUAUUCCUCCAAAAACAGACAAGGCAAGGCUUGAAAAAACUUCCCUUCAACCACAACUCAACAGAGACCACAAUUCAAAAAAGUCUGAACAAGCAAUCCACCACUGAGAAUAAUAAGAAUUAGCUUAACAAAAACUACUUUCCCCUACAAAUUACAUAAAAACUUCAAUAGAACAUACCGAAAUAACGGAUGGUGAAGCAUGGCUCAAAGGGGCAAAAAGACUAGGAAAUAAAAUAGGAAGAAGCAACACAAAAAGAAUAGGCAUAGCUCCUCUUCUGUUGUUCUGACGAGGGGGAUAGCGUCCCAUAUGAGCAGUGGCUUUGCUCAAGCAAGCUCAAGACUUGAUUUUGAUAAAUAAGGAACCACCAAGUCACAAUCUUGAACCGCUACCCAAGUGAUUCUCAUGGAGGGGAGCCACAGUAAAGAGGGGCCAUUAUCAUUACCAACCUCAGCGAGAGCAGCAGCUGUGGUUAAAGCAUCUCACAUGGGCACCUCUCUCCACAUCUCUCUUUUUGUGUAUAUUGAAGGGAAAAACCCACAAAUCUUAAAGGCACCAGCUGCCAAAAAAAUAUAUUGAGUUCCUCUCCUUUUUGCUUGUGCCUAAUGAUAGUGAUAAACGUUUAUACGUAAAUGGCGUCCUCUUCAGGUUGAGAGUCCAGCCUCCCAACGGAUAGAUUUAUAAUUUGUUACAACAACAAAGACUAGUUCUGCUGCUAUUUCCACUAGAUUCUGUCAUAUGGGUUGGGAGUGAAAACCGAAAAGUGAAAAAAACAGCCCACCGAACUUUGGAGGGUACGUGGCAGCAAUAGAACGAGGCACAGUGUCUUUUGUCGUCCUCGAGCUUAGGUAUGCUUUCUCAGUUGGCUGGUUUACUUUUUGCUUUGGAUUCAUUGGCUUUUAUCGCAAUAGCACAUCAUUUUUGCAGAAAUGACAAUGGGAUUUGGACCCUUUCGGUUCACCACCGACACUUGGACGGGCUAGAGUGAUCCGAAGAAUAAUACCUCCAGAUUUAUGGUGCCCUUAAUCAUUAAUGCUCACUAUUUGGUGUUUUUGGGGGGGAGUUGGUGUAAAUGUGGUGAAUCGGAAAUGCAUAAAUCGGUGUUUAGAACUCCUAUGUUCCGGUGUGAACUGUAGGAAGACUUUUGCAUCUUUUAAUCCUUGCAUUGGAAUGUGUGGUCCUUUGUAUAAAAUGGGAGACAAGGAAUCCAACAACCUAUCUAUCAUCCAAGAAACUUCUCUUUUGGUUUUGGCACAUCUCCCGGGUUUAAUUUCAUCAUGAUUCUUGAGUCCCGUGUAUUUGGUUCUGAGAUUAGUACCCUGCUUGAUUUUUGAUUUGGAAUAAGUGAAGUGAUUUCAUAAACUUCUUUUUUAUCACGUAAGGUGGAUGGUACCAUCCAAUGAGGAUGGCUCUAACUUAGGAGAAAUUCUACCAUCGUUAUUUGAAUGCUGCUAUGUAUUAUGAUCAUAAUCUAAUAAAUUCUUGAUACAUCAUUCAAUCAUGCAAACUCUUAAAAUCAUUUAGGAACUAUGGUGAAUUAAUACUCAUGGGUAUAGUACUCAAAAUCAGCUUUGACAGAGGAAUGUGCAAAUGACUUUUAUCCUUUUUAUCCCACAUUUUUGGAAAUACUUUGGUUUGGAUGAGGUUUAGAUGAUGUUGGGAUCAAUUUUACCACUCCCAUGACCAUCUAAUUGUAUAUUUUCUACAAAAUUGGGAUAAAUUUGGCUGGGAUAAUCGGUCAUUAUUGUGUAUUUUCUUUCUCUAAACUUGCAAUGACCGAUUCAGAUCCAUCAAGGGAGUUGAGGGAAGCAUGUUGAGAAUAAUCAGGGGCACGGAUAAUUACAAGUCCAAUUUAUUUGCUGAUAAACCAAUAUUCUCGAACGUAAAGAGUAAAAUAAGUAAAUAACCUUAUACUUUCCUUUGUUAGGUUUAUUAGAAUGCAUACUUCGUUGUAAAUUACCGCGUAGUAAGAUAAAAUAUUAUCUUGCACCCUUCAAGUACAUAAUAGUAACAAUUUAUUUUAUAAAAUUUAUAUUCAUUUUGAAUUUCGAAUAUCUAAAUUUGAAGUAUAUCCAUUCCCUAUUUUUCAAUAAUGCAUGCAGAGGAAUAUAGUAAGUAUCUAUAAGUCGAAUCAAAAUCCGAUUUCCAGAGCAUGGAUUGUAUAUUAAGGAAGUCAUAAUACUCUCAACCUUCUACUCUAUGCUAGUACAUAGAAUCCUGUGUGUUUGAAUAAAAGAUUAUUUGAAAUAAUUACUAUAGUGUUUUUUGCAAUGUGAUGAUGUGAUGCGUAUAAAAUAAAAAAGUGAUUAAAAAUAUAAAAAUGUGUUUGCAAUGCAAAAAAAUAAUUAGCAAAUUAUUGAAAUCCAAACACAUUUUGAAAUAUUUGGAUGGUGGGUUAUUUGAAAUAUUAUUUAAAAUAAUUAAUGUAUCACUUCAAUUGUCUAUAUGAUGUAUGUGAAAUGAAAAUAUGAUUGGGAACAUAAAAAUGUAUGUUGGAAGAUGUGUUUAUAAUGCGCGCAAAUAAUUUUUUGCCAAAUAACUAUUAUCCAAACACAUUAAUUAAUUAAUGUUUUCUAGCCAUGAACAGCAAAAUUAGAUAUUCCCACCACAAAAUUAGUUACAUCAACACUAAUUGCAAAUGCAAUUAUGCAAUAAGUGAUUUCCCACUUAACCUCUCUUUCAACAACCAUAAAUGAGGUUAUAAAACUAAGUUGAAGGCACUAAUAGAUAUGUGAUUUCAAUAGUUAGAUCAACACUAAUUGCAAAUGCAAUUAUGCAAGAAGUGAUUUCCCACUCAACCUCUCGUUCAACAACCAUAAAUGGGGUUGUAUAACUAAGUUAAAGGCACUAAUAGAGAUGUGAUUUCAAUAGUCAAUCCACUUAUAUUUAUAGGUUAUAUUCCCACCACAAAAUUAGUUACAUCAAUAUUACUCCUUCGUCCAACUUUGAUAGUUCUGGUUUUUUUUUUCACACAGUUUAAAAAAAAUAGUUAAUUUUGUUGAAACAAUCAAUUUAUGUACCUAUUUUUUUAAACUACCCUCACAUUAAUUAGAGUACAACUUUAUGGAAACUUGAAUUGAUGGUAAAAAAAAAAAUCAACUCUCAUUAAAUGGGGUAGGUUUAUAGUAACAACAACUUACAUUGAAUAAGGGUAUUUUAGAAAAUUAAAAUAUAACUACAUUUUUCGAUUGAAAAUUGAAUUAUAAUUUGGGACAGACGAAAAAAAAAAAACAAAACUAUUAAAGUGGAAUGGAGGGAAUAAUUGCAAAUGCAUCAAGUGAUUCCCCACUUAAUCUCUCUUUCAACAACCAUAAAUGGGGUUAUAAAACUGUGUUAAUGGUACUAACGGGGAUGUGACUUCACCAGCCAUCCACUUGUAUCUAUGGGUUUGAGAGCUGAGAUGAAUUUAAGAUACCCGGUUUGUGGGGGCAGAAUUCAUGAAAGUACUUUUUUCUGUAUUUUUCCUGAGAAAUGUGAAACUUUUUGACUUGCCGUACUGAAAGGGCAAUUAAGCCAAUCCCUGAACUAACGUGGAAAGACAGUUUUGUCACUCCAGAGUCAAGACUCUCUCCAGACCCUGUUGACCGGACCCUAGUUAGUGCAGGCGGGCAGCUAUCAUCCUCCAUUAAUGGUUCUGCGUCUUCCUCCCCAAAAACUACCUAAGGUGGUGUUUGGAUUUUUUUAGAAGAUCCAACAACCAUGGAUUGGACAGGGUUAUAAUUGCUGUAUAAGAAUUCUGGCGGGUUUAGUCGGCCUCAGAGUCACAAACAAACAUUACGACAAAAUAUGCAACAAAAAUCCGAAGGAGGAACUAAUCAGUGAAAAAUCCCUUUUUUUGAAUUGUAGGUCAGAAUUUGAACCCUAUUUAUCGUGAAUAAAACUUAAAUAAAGGUAUCAGAGUAUCUCUUUGAUCUAAUUAGGUCUGUAUACCUAUCUGCUAGUUCUUACAUAGUCUCUUUAGCUUCUUUCGUCCUGUAAAAUAGGAUAGGUUAAAUUAUACAAUUGUUAUCGUUAUCGAAAAAAAAAUGCAACAAAAAGAAAGAUGCUUGACUGUCAACAAACAUAGAAUACUACUUACCUAUAAAUCCCAUUUCAUACACCAAAAAAUCAAAGUUACACAAAGUUAAUGAUUUAACAAAUUUUAGCAUUUCAUCAAAUCACAAAAGGAUGAUUUAAGUUCUUUUAUGCCAGCUAAAACGCCAAGGUAAGCAAUAUAAAGAACCAUUAUCAUCCGCUUGAUACAUUGACAGCGUGUGUCUUGGUCUUGCAAUAAUGAGAUGUGCCUUUUAUUCAUAUAAUACUUCCGUGGCACAUCGCUAUUGCGAAGGUUAUAUUAAUUGAUAAUUUGUAAAAUCUCUUUAAACGACUCAUCAUCGUUGGUUCUGAAAGACUCGUAGUGACGAUCGAAAUAGAAUCGUUGUUUGGUGUUCUUUAUGGCGGUGCAAUACGUGAUGUCAUUAUUGUUUAACAACUAUCAAGCCAACCCCCACAAAACACAAGUAAGGUAAAUAAAAGAAAGCUUCAUCCUCUACCGUUUGUAAUCGCAAGGAUUACAAGCUAAUGUACAGCCUUACACGUACAUAUUAUCGUCCUACUAAGUACUAGUAGUAUUAACGAUGCUCCUCAAUAUGUUCCACCGAUGACUAAUUGUGGAAUGUGACAAGUGACAUACUCAAGCAAAAAUAAGCUGACAAAUUACUAGGAAAGUCAAUUUUUUGUUUUUGUUUUUUUUUUUUGUAAGCGGAAGGACUCGAAUUCGAGACCUCUUGCUUACACUCCCUCCCCCGUACCACCCAACCCAACCCUCCCCUAGAAAAGUCAAUUAAUUUGUACUAAUAAUGCACAUAGAAUAUUGCCACAGGAUUUACAUUUUUAAAACAAAUUUUUUGGCUCUUGACGCAAUAAGCUUAUAGGUGGAUGCCCCGCCCCUUUCACGUAGGAGAUAACGAUGAGCAAAUAAUUCACAAUUGGAUGCUGUCAUUCUUUCCCAUUUCUUCUGUAUUAUUGGCCAGAUGUGAAAUGAUGGAAAUUGACGUAGAAGUGACAGUUGUCCUCUGCGCAUUGAAGAAAGAUUAAAAGUUAAUGAAAAGAAUAAAAUGCAUUAAACUUGUUGUGAUUUUUUAAUUAAACUUAAGUUAUCCCCGUGAUUUUCACCCUUCAGAAAAGAGGCACGUACAAUGCAUCAAGAAAAGUUCUCCGUUUCAACCCACGUUGCAACAAGCUGGAAAACGAAAGGAAAUCGUAUUAAAAGCUUAUUGAGGGGGCAAAACAAGGACACUGGCGUAAAGCAUUGGAUCACAAAAUCUCUUAAAAAUAUGAUGCGCCUCCUGAUUUCUCUCAAUUGUACAUAUAUUUUUAUCAUCGAUAUCCAAUCAUGAAAAGGACAUUUACUUACUUUUUUGAGUUAAUAUUUUAUUGCCUCCAUCGUAUCGCUGUAGAUUUUGGCUUAUUCUGACUGUUUGGAUUGUAAAUUAUUUGAGAUAUUUUUAUUGUAACAUUUUUUGUGAUUUGAUGUAUGUGAGAUAAAAAGGUAAUUGAAAAGAGAAAAAGGUGUAUUGGAAAUUGUAAUGAUGAUGUAAGCAAAUAAAUUUUGACAAAUAAUCCUCUAUCCAAACAAACCCUAGUCUAGAUUCAUUUCCCUUUAAUGUCCCAUGAGUUGCAUAGAGCGCACAACAAUUUAUCAUGAUGGAUCUUUAACAAGAUUGGUGUAAAAAAAAAAAAAAAAAGAAUGUUAAGCCUUGUUUGGAUUGCGAUUUUUUAUCGGAAAAUUAUGUCGUUUUCUGUGAUUAUAUUUUUCUAUUAUCUUUUUCUCUCAUAUACAUCAACUCGUUACAGUAAUUUUUCCAUGAAAAAUCAUGAAAAAUGCAAUCCAAACACAACCUAUAUCCUAUAUGCUAUUUUGAAUAUUGCAAAAUUAUGCUAUGGAAGGAUUGUGUCACAAAAAGGAAGAAAGUGUGUGUUCCAAUGCAGAUUCUUUGUGACAAAAGGUUUACACAAUUUACUUAUUCAUUUAAUGAUUGUGGCACAAUAAUAAACUAAAACAACAUAACCAAAGAGCCUUUGGUCUAGUCGUUAAGAUUCAGAUAUGAGAAAUAAGAUGUUUUAGGUUCAAAUCCUCCUUUUACCUUCCUCACUUUUUAAAUUCCACCCUCUUUUACUAAAAAAAAAAUAAUUAAGAAAAACUAAAGCAACCGAUUUAGUUUACAUCUAUACUAUUUUUUAAAUAUAUUUUUAAAAGAAACUAAAGCAACCUGGUUAGCUUCCAUCUACACUAUCCGGUAUUAUGGUUAUAUGGCUAAUAUACUUACUUUUUUUUUUUUUAAUUAGUUGGCAACAUCUAUACUAUCAUAUUUUACAUAGAAGGAAAAAUUCAAUUGAGAUCUUAUUUGAUAACUUAAUUCAGUACUUAAAUUUAAUAGAUUUAAAUCUUAACAUAUUUGGACCGUUUGAUAACAAAAAAUUGAACAUCUAAAUUAAUUAAGUAGCACUGAAUUUCUUAGAGAAAAUUUGUUCCCAAAAUUAAGUGAUAAGUUAUUCAUUUAUCAUUGAAUGUAUUAGAUUUAAAUACUUAACAAUUCAAUAACUUAAUAGAUUCAGAUUUCAGUUUUAUUAAACACGCGCUGAGUUGUAUAAGGGGUUAAAAGGAAGACAGUCUCAUCCAAACCAAAUAGCUGUUUUAUUACUGAUUUUUAGAGUAGAAUCAUAAUCCAAAAAAAAAAAAGAGCUUAUUUUUCUGCUUCGGACCUUUUUUUUGGGGUCAUUCGGAAGGCUUUAGGCCCAUUACAAUUGCAGUCGUCAAGGUUUGCUAAUUCCGAUUCCGUCAUGCCCCAAAGUGGUGGAUGGGGAGGCUCUUGAAGGAGAAAAGACCCUGGUUUUUUUAAUCUCCCAAAAAUGCCAAAAGCAGCUUACACUAAUUCAGAAUACUAAAAAUACGAGAAAAAGAAAAGCUAUUUUCUAAUCAAAAACUAAAAUCGGAUGUAUGGAUUAAUUUUAGACCAGGCCUGAAAAGUAUUUUUGCAGCGUUGGAGGAAUAUAAUUUGUACACUUCUGCAUUCUUACUCACUUCCUGGUUAGGUUUACCCAAAUUCACACACAAUCGCUUGGGCCUCAAUCUAAGUAUACUGACAAUUGAAAGCAAAAAUCGAGAUAUCAACCCAUCCAUCCCUAAUUGGGCCACAGCCCAUACUGUCCUAAAAUUCAAAUGCAGUAUAAAUUAGAUUCAAGGGAAGCGAAUAAAGUUGAACGUGAAUUUGCAUAUUUAUGCGAAAACCUCUCACUCAAUUUUGUCAUGCCAAGUAAAUCAUGGACUAUUUUCAGCAUUUUGAGUAAUAAAAUUUUUUGUCAAGUAAAUCGUAUUUAGUACGAGAUUCAAAAAAAAUAUUUUCAGCAAAUAUUUUUGACAAUUUUUAGCAUUUUGAGUAAUAAAAUAGUUUUUUAUUCAAAAAAAGAAAGAAAGAAACACUUGCAAACGACGUCGUCUUUUGACCCAACUUCCUAGUGGCGAUGCUAGUACUAUUUUAGUACGGGCUUCAAAUCAUCAAACAGAUUCAGUUGGCAGUUGAAGCUUACGACUACGAAGCAAGGAGGCUGCAGCAGAUCCCAGCCCUCAACUGUCUCUAUAUGUUCAGUUGGCAGUUGAACUACUCACCAAUUCUGUGUAUUCACCCCCCGCCCCAACCGGCAGUCCUCCAUUACUAUUGCUAUUUAUUACUAGUAGAAUUCUUCAUUUCUCUACCUCGAGAAGUUGAUAAGGUUCCCUCAGUUUCUCCGCCGUCCUACACUGGAAUCUCCGAACUUCUUCUGUAUCUAUAGCUCUCUAGAUUGAGGGGGAGGAGGAGGAAGCAGGCUGUAUAUUGUCCGAUGGCAGGGGUUUUAUCAGGUCUGAAACGCCUAUACCUCACCAUUUACAAUUGGACCGUCUUCGUCGGAUGGUAAUUCUUCUUUUACUCGCUUCUUCGGAGUUGAUCUUAUUUCCUUCGGUUAUUGAAUUUUCUUUCUGCAAUUAAAUCUUGGUUUCAAUUUGAUUUUUUUUUACCAGGCUGCAGGUGUUUUUUCUAGCUGUGAAGACCCUCAAGGAGUCGGGGCACCAACACGUCUACGAUGCCGUUGAGAAGCCUCUGCUUCUAGCUCAAUCUGCUGCCAUCUUAGAGGUGAUUCCUUUGGUUUCUUAAUUUUAUUUUCUUUUCUGAAACUUCUGGUCUUGUUUUAUAUUUAAAUGGGCAUGCGGAGACAUUACUGGUGUAAGAUUUUACUAGGAUAUCUACAAGUUUUGACCUUUAUGUAAAAUUGAAUGAGUUUGGCUGCCCACGUCUAGUACCCAGUAUUUCCUUGAGGCAUGGGAAUGUAUGAUCUUUGAAACUUAGUGGAAUAAUGUAGCUUAUAAAUAAAAUGCCAUCUAGUGGACAGAGCUAAGUCCUUGUAUUGGUCGGGCAGAACGUUACGCAGCCCUCUUGAGCAGUUUGUUUCGUGUACUAGUGAAAUACUUGAGCUGAUUGAUAUCAGAUACGCUUCUGGGAUUUAAGGAUGAGGCACUUGCUCCAUGUGUGGUGGUUGUGUACUGAGAAAGUGAGUAAUGGAGGCUGAGAGCAAAUUACUUUGGUUUGCUGUAUACUGUCAAUGCUGUCAAAUGCAUUUUAGUCAGAGGAGGUAUUGUCUUGGAGUGUUUGUGCUUAGUAGACUAUUAGGAUUUUCAGUAACUAGAGGAGUUGAAAUCAUAAAAAUUUGAUCAAAGAGUUAUUAUGCCACUAGAGAAAACAUAUUAUUACUCAGAAGUAUUUGGAUAAAAAUCUUCUUGUCGAUGUGAGACUCUCUGGGGCUUCAUAGUGGGUUUGUACAUAUGAGAAAGAAUAUUGUUUGAUCCUAGAAUUAUGAGAUAAGCAAUUUCAUACAAAUGCUCAACCUGUUUUCUGUGGAUGAUAUGAUAAAUGUACGCCCCGGUACAUAGUAUGCAGUUCUCCCAUCCUUUUGUCUAUUGUAACUUUACAAUUUUGAUGAAAUUUAGUUUACAAAUGGGGAUUCCAUUUCUUACCUGUCAAAUCUAAUAUGUACCUAACUUCUGUUUUCUGUCCUUUUCAUCCUGUAUGCUUUAUAUGGAGCAGAUAAUUCAUGGUCUAGUUGGUAAGUGGACUCACUGAUAAGCUAAUAAUAGCACUGUAGAUUUUUGUAUCAAAACAAACUGAUGGUUUUUCCUUCAAAAGGCUUGGUUAGAUCUCCAGUUUCUGCGACGCUGCCACAGAUUGGUUCAAGGUUAUAUGUAGCUUGGGGAAUUUUGUGGAGCUUUCCUGAGGUUUGAGCCAUUGAUGCUAAUAGGUUUUCUCCUCUUUUUUUUUCCCUUAAAUGGUGAGAGAAUUUUAUAUUACAAAAAUCUAUCUUUCACCUCACAGGUUAGGACUCAUGUACUUGUUAGCAGUUUGGUCAUUAGCUGGUCUAUCACUGAGGUAAACCUUUCAUAUUCAUGUGCGUUUAGUUUGCAUUUACUCUAGAAUCUCUUGCCUCACUUUAUUUUAUUUAUUGUUGGAAAAUCAAUCUCACUUGAGAAUGAUUUACUUUCUUACACUUCAGAUUAUCCGAUAUUCAUUUUUUGGGACAAAGGAAGCCUUUGGCUCUGCACCUUCAUGGCUUUUGUGGCUUAGGUAUGAACCAUGCAACUGUGAUAUGGAAGCCAUGGUGUUUAUCAGUCUCAUUAAUUAUUCAACUGUGUGCUUCAGGUAUAGCACCUUCCUCUUGCUGUACCCAACGGGCAUCACGAGUGAGGUCGGUUUAAUAUACAAUGCCUUACCUUUUAUCAAGGUAAUGAACUAAAUCCUGUAACAAAUUACGCUAAUCUACUGUCAAUCAUUGCCCUUAAUGUCUCUUGUUUGGCUAGUUAAUAUUGGAGAUAUCCAGUGCAGCAGGAGUUGAAUGCCCCUAGCACUCUUAUUACAUAUUACCAUACUACAGAAUUACAUUUUUGCCAAUGGAAAGAACUUCUCGAUUGUCAUAGAAUGAAUGACUUGUACAUUUUAGUUUGUGUGAUUGUCAUAAGGUUGAUGAUGCAGUCCUGUAGAAUCAUCUGUGUUCUCAGUUUGCUCAUCUAGUGAUGGACUUUUUGAGAGUUUUAGCAUUCAGCAGAACAUUUUCCUAAUCUAGACAUGGAUUGCAAUAUCGUUAAGUGGUUAUGGUGAAGUCUCUUGCAGAACAUUUAAGCUCACUUUGCCUAGUGGUUAAAAAUUUGGACGACAGCAGACCUAGAAACUUUUUAAGCCGUUGAAUUGUAUUGCACUUUAAAAUAAUUGCCCAAAUCUAAAUUUCUUUUGCCAUGCAGCAGUAAUUUGACAGUUUGUUUGAACUCCCUUUUAUAGCUUCAAACUCAUUAUCAAAUCUCUGUCAUUGAACACAAUAAACAGAUAUCCUAAUCAGUUGUACAUGUCUCCUGGGUGCGCAUCUGUUUUAACAGAAUAAGACAUAAUUUCCUGGUAGUCGAAAUCCCUGUAAAGUAGUCUCUCACUAUUGAAAUACUUCCUUUUGCAAGUUCAUCUUGUUAUUUACUGUAAUCAGCAUGUGCUGUAUUCCAUGCUUCUGGGUAUUUCAUUUCUACGAUGCUUCACGCAUGGCCAUGUACUGCUGAAAUAGUUUGUAGAAGUUUGUGAGAGCUUUCUUAAAAGAAAUCGACUUUCUUGACCUCGUGAACUCUUUUGCAGGAAUCCGCAAAAUAUUCUGUAUUGAUGCCCAACAAGUGGAACUUCUCAUUUGAUUACUAUUAUGUUGCAUUUGUCGUUCUUGGUGUUUAUGUACCAGGCAUGACUUUCCUUCCUUAAAGAUUGUUUAUUUUGUUCUAUUGGCUCCAAAUACUGGUCCAUCAAAGUUAAAAAACAAAAGAUCAAUUUGUAUUCUCUUUGCUGUUAUUAAUCAACAACCGCUGCUGUCCCAUGCAGGCAGUCCUCACAUGUAUACCUAUAUGCUCGGGCAAAGGAAGAAAGCUCUCUCCAAAUCGAAAAAGGAGUAGAUUCCUGGAACUGAUAUAUGCUUUAAAUUAUGAUUUUACAAGAAUUAUCUAUGUUUUUUUUUUUUGACAUCUAUUCAACUUACUGAAUGUAGUUUUCCUAUUAAAUUGUCACGCGGAAGUUUGAGACAAUAUAUUCCCUCGUUUUCCCAUUACCUAAAUCAUACUAUUAGUUUUCCCUGAUGCAAGAUUAAUUACCAUAUGAGCCCUUUGGGUCUGAUAAUUGUCUUUCUCAUACUUCAGAACACUUUUUUUAAGUUUAGUCGUCCGACAAUAGCCUUGGCAAUUGACACAGUUCGCAUGGUCUUUUCUAGUGGGAAAAUACCGGUUUUCAUCCCCAAACUUUGGGGUAAAGACACAUUUCGUCCCUUAACUUUUGGGCACGAUACAUUUGAUGUCUGAAUUAAUAAUUUUUGACCAAUGUCAUCCUCAAAUGGCAAUUUAGCCAAUUUUUAAUGGAACUGGUCACGUGAAAAUCACAUGACCGUUAAGUAAAUUUAAAUCACAUUUUUAACAAAACCUGCCAGUUUCCCAUAAAGAACUGGUAUGUUAUGGGCAAUUUAUUAUUUUUUUUAACUUUCACAUAUUUAAUUUAUGUUAAAUACAAAACAUACUAGUUUUCCUUUGGGCGCUAUUUAACCAAUUUUUCCUAUAAAGAGCUGGUAUGUUUCCCAUAAAGAACUGGUACAAAACAUACUACAAAACCUGCCAGUUUUCCAUAAAGAACUGGUAUGUUAUGGGCAAUUUAUAUAUUUUUUUUUAACUUUCACAUAUUUAAUUUAUGUUAAAUAAAAAACAUACUAGUUUUCCUUUGGGCGCUAUUUAAUCAAUUUUUUCUAUAAAAAGCUGGUACAAAACAUACUACAAAACCUGCCAACUUCUCAUAAAGAGUUGGUAUGUUACGUGAUUAGUUCCAUUAAAAAUUAGCUAAAUUGCCGUUUGAGGAUGACAUUGGUCAAAAAUUAUUAAUUCAGACAUCAAAUGUGUCGUUCCCAAAAGUUGGGGGAUGAAAUGUGUCCUUACUCCAAAGUUUGGGGAUGAAAACUGGUAUUUUCCCCUUUUCUAGUACACUCUGGUGUUGUUUCUUUCAGCUUAGUUUUCAUAACUAGAAAUUUGGCUCCUCAAUCAGAAAAAGUUCGCCCCUUUGGCUCCAAAUUGCACUUGCUCGCCUUCUCUCUUUCAGAUGUUUGAGAUGCCUGUCCAAAGCUAUAAAUAGGUGCUAAAGAUUUGGGGGUUCAAUUCCUCACCGACACACAGCUACCAGCCCCCCGAAUUGUGAGCUAAAUAUACCAUCUUUGCGAGUGAGAUGAGAGACGUGUCUGCUGGAUUGCGUCGACGAGUCAUGGUCGGCUGCACUUUGCCUUGCACACACAAUAAGGAAAAGAAGACUUUUUAGCGUGGGUGGCCCGUUAUUUAUCUGUUUUGGUUCAGUCACUUUGAGGUUCGGUCAUCUCUGUUUGGAUCUAGAGAGUUUUUCAAAAACUAAUUUUUUAAAUAUUAUAAAAUUUUUUUAAAAGUACUUUGAAAAGGAAAUUAAAUUUUUUAAUAUUUAAAAAAUAUUUUAAAAACUCUAUUACUCUUAAAUAUUUCAAAAUAUUUUCUAAAAAUAUCGCAAAAUAUAUUCUAAAAACUCUGUUACAAUAAAAUUUUUUAAGAACACUCCAAAAAUAACUAAUUCAAACAGUUGUAGCAGAAUACUGCCCUACCUACUUUUUGAGUUUUUUCCACACACGGUUUUGAAUGGAAUGGGCACCUUCCUAAUUAAACUGGUAGGUAUUCCAAGCAUGAAUACCAAAAUAGGUUCAUCAGUAGAAUGCGGGAAUAAAGACAAAAGGCAGUUUCAGUUUCCUGCUUUAAGCUGGAAGGACGAACGGAGAAAUACUUCAUAUACGUUGAAAAUUCAACUAGGUAAGGCUUAAGAGCAGAAAUUUAAUAAACUUCGAAAAAAGAAAAUUUUGUUUACUAGGCUGACUUGCUUUUAUUGACUUGCCUUUGCUUUCCUUCUUCAUUUAAAUGCUGUAGGAUUAUUUUCCACUUUGCUUUGCUUUGCUCUGCUCUUCGUUCUUCAUUUUGAAUGCGGUAGGAGUAUGCAGCAAAUGUUAUGAGACCUCGUGAUUAGAUUAAUUGUGUACUAGUGCAAUUAAUUAAACAUCUUUUAACUGCAAACCAAACUCUUUCUCGACGCCAUAAUCAUCAAACUAUCCAAGUUCAUCAACUACAUGCAGUUCUCGAGCGCAAAUUCUGUUUAUUUGGCUUCAGGGCUGAUCUUCGUCCUGAAAUUUUUCCCAUUCCUCUCAUUUGCUAAUCCUCAAUUUCACGAAGCUGGCCUGAUUUGUGGCCAGAAUAUAGCACCGAUAAACACCAGCUACAACAUUCCCCGUUCUUCUGAAGUGGUGGAAGAGAUAGAAUCUGAAGUGAUGGGCGAGAUAGAAUCUCUUGUGAUUAAAAACGGCUGGGGUCUUUAUGCAGGGAACAAGACAAAUAUAUCCUUCUAUGCCUUAGCCCAAUGUUACCAAGAUCUUGCUCCGGUUGAUUGCUAUUUUUGCUACCUAACGAGUCGAGGUAUUAGACAUGAAGCUUGCGGCCGUGCAGCAUCAGGUCGAGUUUAUAUGGACGGAUGUUUCCUGCGUUUUGACAACUACAACUUCUUUGAUGAAAGCGUUGAUACAACAAAAGGUAUAUCAAAUUGCAGCAGCCGAUCAGCUGGUGUUCUGAGUGUCGAAGAUGUAGAGAAUUUUGGAAAGAAUGUUGUAAAGUUGAUUGAUAAAGUAACUUCAGUUGCUUUGAAGAAUGGAGGGUUUGCUGUAAAGGGGUUGAAUGGAGUGUUUGGCUUGGCGCAGUGUUGGAAGACUUUAAGCGAACAAGGGUGUAAAGAAUGUUUAACAAAGGCAAGUCGAAAUGCUAUAGGGUGUUUGCCUAGCCGGGAAGGCCGUGGGAUGGAUGCUGGCUGUUAUUUGAGGUAUUCGACUGUGAAAUUCUAUAAUGACCCGCCUAAGACUAUUGCAGGUAAGUACCAUGAAUUAUCGCACCUGUUGUAUGCAGUACAAAAAGUUUGUGAUGAAGAGAGAAUUGAUCCCAAAUUGAGUUUAGAGUUGCUCAAAUAUAUUCUAUUCGAUUAAAGGUGUUAUCUUUGCAGUUAGAAGUGUUCUAUCGAUUCUGUUUCUUGCCAAGACUAUCCAAUUGUUUUGCCUUAACCUACAUUUUUGUGUUAACCAAUAGUCUUAUGAGCUAUCAAAUUUCAGAAUUAAAACUUUGUUAGAAUUAUUCUUCUUUCAGCAAUUUCUUUCGCAGCUUCGCUUGUUUUGUUCCUGUUGACAUUCUGGUUAUUUUCAGGACCCUCAACAUGGGGAAAAAGAGUGGCUAUAGGCUCGUCUGUUGUGGCCUUCUCUAUGCUCUCUCUUUUCGCUGCCUAUGCAUUCUACGCAAGAUUCAAAAAAUCCAUUCAAGGUAUGAUAAGAUGAUCGAUAACCAAGGCGUAAGUAAAGAUGAUUUCUAAUGCAGUGUUUUUUUUUCAACUAAACGUAACAAAUUGUUUCAUUUUGUGGUGAUGCAGAACAGAGAAAAUUAGCCCGAAUUUCACAUGCAUACAACAAGUCAUAUUUGUACUUCAAAUAUGAAAUCUUAGAGAAGGCAACAAACUAUUUCGAUCCCAGAAUGAAAAUAGGCCAAGGAGGAGCUGGUUCCGUAUAUAUAGGAACUCUUCCGGAUGGAAAAGUAAUUGCUGUAAAGAGGUUGUUCUUUAGUACCAGUCGAUGGGUUGAAGAGUUCUUCAAUGAGGUGGAUCUGAUCAAUGGAAUUCAGCACAAAAACCUCGUCAAGUUUUUGGGUUGUAGCAUUGAAGGUCCUGAGAGCUUGCUGGUUUACGAGUUUGUGCCCAACAAGAGCCUCGAUCACUACCUCUUUGGUUAGUAACAUUAUUAGACCAUAUAUUCUGGUUAACAAGUUUGUGUAGCAAUGCAGCGUGCACCUUAACAUGGUAGACUUACAAAUCACUCUGCAGAUGAAAACAGAAUUAAGAUUCUAAGUUGGAAGGAGCGAUUCCAAAUUAUAAUUGGAACAGCCGAAGGGAUAGCUUUUCUUCAUGGAGGAGCCGGGAUCAGAAUUGUCCACAGGGACAUAAAAAGCAGCAACGUGCUUCUUGAUGAGGAUUUUUCUCCUAAAGUUGCAGAUUUUGGAUUGGCUCGGCAUUUUGCCGAGGACAGAACUCACCUUAGCACUGAACUUGCAGGGACUUUGUAAGAGAAAAUGUUACUGCGAUUAGCAUUUUACUCCACUGUCAACAAAUGCAAUCAAGAUGAACAAGGAAACAUCAUCGUAUCUCCAGAUUGCAUGUUUGAAAUUUUAAUCAUUUGCUGAAAUGAACGUUUGAUUUUGGCUUUGUUUACAGAGGAUACAUGGCUCCUGAAUACCUUGUCAAAGGACAGCUCACGGAGAAGGCUGAUGUAUACAGUUUCGGCAUCUUGGUUCUUGAGAUCGUCUGUGGUAGAAAGCAUAAUUAUGCUUCCAAGGACGACUCUGGCUCACUUCUGCAAACGGUAAAGAUCCAAUUCUCUUAUCACCACAUUUCAUUUCAACUUGCUAAAGCCUAAAAGGGUUCAGAUUCGCUCAGACAAGAUGAACAAAAAUUGUUCUUUACUGUUGGCCCAGGUUUGGACGUUUUACCAAACGGAUAAACUCGAGGAAUUAGUCGAUCCUUGUUUGAAAGGGAAUUUUCCAGCGCUAGAGGCAUGGAAUGUGCUUAAAAUUGGGCUUUUGUGCGGUCAAGCUUCUGCUACUUCAAGACCAUCUAUGGUUGAAGUCGUUCAAAUGGUUACAGUUCCUAAUUGUGCCAUUCCUGAACCAAAUCAACCGCCAUUUCUAAAUUCUAACAGCAGUUUUCCGGCAGCCAAUCCCAGCAGGUCCUGAAGCUUUGAAGUUCUUCCCUUGCUUAGUUAUGUUGUUAAUGUUCAAAUUUCUGGGAUGUCAAAUGGGCUUUGUGAGUUCAGCAGACUCAGACAACGUCCAUUCUAAACAGGGACGUAAAAUCAAGCCAUGUGCUACAAGAAGAGAAAAGAAUUUUCACCUCAACGACAUUCGUCCAUUUUGAAUCCAAGCUGUUUUAGCCGAAAGCUUAGCCCACUAAAACUCCCAUAUGAAACGUGUGAAAACAACAAAAGCAAACGAAGACAUGCACAGCCACAGCACAGCCAGUGGAGUCAAAUCUAUAUAUGAAGCAUGUACAACAAAAGCACGGAGAACAGAGGGGAAGUCACCUUCAUAGUCCUUGACGUUUCAGAAUCCUUAGAAAGUCACUGGUUUAAUUACAUCGUAGGCAGGAACCUGUCGGUGCAAAGGGAACAGCACAUCUUUUUUUUACGGUACGUAAAUUUGAUAUGUACUGAUGAUGGAUUCGUGUGAACUAGAGCCCUUGUAAAAACAAAAAUUUGUGACAUAGAGCCAAGUCGAUUAAAUUUGUGACAUGGCCGGGGGAGUGGAGGUAUUAAAAUAGGUGAUUCUGAUAGAUUUGAGCCGAUUAAUACAAAUCACACUUCUGUUACUAAUUGAUUUGUAGUGUGAGUAACGAAUCCCAUAUUGGUUCCACCUCUCACGAGCAUGUUCGCACAAUUGUGGACAAGCGCAAUAAAUUACGAAACGAAGAAGACCGAUCGAUCUAUUCCAGCCACCAGAGUAAGCGCUUAAACAGUUCUAAAAGGCUCCUUCUUCCUUUUCUUCUUCGUGCGAUUGGUAUUGGGACCAGCACCGUCCCCCACACCGCAGUUGAAUUUUAUUUUUUCAACCCUAAACAUUUAUUUCUUUGGGAUAAUUUUAGAAACCUCCCUUGAUAUUGAUGACAAUUGUGGCCACCCUCUCUAAAGUUUGAAAAAUUACACUUACCUUUUCUAACAUUCAUUAUGAAAACACACUAUGAUAAACUUUAUGGAACAAAUUUUAAGUUGAAAAUGAGUACCAAAAAAGAAUGUAUGAAGUACCAAAAAAGAAAGAUUUCGGAACAUGACUUAAAUUUUCCUGCAAAAAAUUAAAUUGAAGUUUUCGUCUAACGAAUAAUAGUAAUAAUUGACUUUUUAGCAUUUAAUUUGUUUUAACAUAUCACAUAGGGAUGAUAUUCGAUAUUUAUUGGAUUUUUUUUUUUUUUACUUACACCAUUAAUUGUUACCAAAACAUACUUUUUAAGGAGAAAUUUCUACUAUCAGUUUUCAAACCUUACCGAAGGUGGCUGCAAUUAUCAAAAACCGAGGUUUCUGAAAUUAUCCUUUUUCUUUUUGUCCCAAACCAGGGUUCUUUUAUUCUAGAUUCAUUGUGUUCAAUUCGGAAUCACUAAAUUCUUGAACAGUUUCGCUAUGAUGGAUUUGCUUAUAUGGAGGGAGAAGUCCUAAAUUUCUAUACCCCCUAAAGCACAACUCUUUGCCCUUUGAUUCUUCCUUCCAAAUGAAUCUAAACAAAAAGUGAACCCUGUACCCCACUAGAACUUAUAUAACUGUACAUUCAUUAUUCGUUGCUGUUUAUUUUCUUGGUCCCCAAGACAAGUGGAUAACGUCGGGUACGGGCUCAGUAACGCAGGCUACACUUAUUGCAGUCGAAUUUAUUUCCAACACAGUCGACACUUCCCCAAAGGCAAAGGCUAAAAACUGCCUAAUAAAUCAGCAAUUGCAGGUUCAGUGACACAGCAACGAAUUAAAAGAUGGCAAUAAAUUUUUUUUUUUUUGGGGUCAAAAAAAGAUGGCAAUGGUUACUUCAUCAGUUUUACAGAUUUGGCAGUUACCUGUGGUACUUGCAUUAUCAGGGAAUGAAAUAAGCUGAUGCAGGGUUUCUUUCUUCUUGACCACAGAAGCAACAACUUUCAGAAAUCAGAAGGGUUUAUUAAUAUUUGUAGCAAGCACUGAAUUUCGCAGUUUUCACUGCAUGGAGAUGUGGCAACUAGCAAGGCAUGGCUAACAUAAGGAAGCCAACUCCUAGAAAAGUAACUGGUUCGAUAUGAUUUUACUUGCAAAAAAAUAAAUUAUUUGAAUGCAUUACAAACAUUUUUUUUAAUUAUUUUUAACUAUUCUUUAUCUGACACACGUUAUAUCAUAAAAAGUGUUGCAGUUUUUGUCAAAGUAUUAUUCUAAAUAACCUCCUAUUAAAUUCAUGCUCUAUAUUGUAGUCUCAUUUUCAUGAAAGGCAUUCCCAUUCACGCUCUUCAAUUCCAAAAAUUACAGUAAUAAAAAAAAACAUAUACUCCAAGUAAAUUUUUAAAAAAAUACCUAGACAUGCUUUAAGUAUCUUUAAGAAGCAUCCCUGUUAGGAUUUUAAGAUUUAAAACUUGGUUAAGAUGAAAGGCAUCUCCAAUGUAUUUUUUAUUAUGGGUUAAUAAGCCCUAAUCAAGCAACGUGUCCUUAAAAGGAGCAAAAAAAGAAGAAGAUAAGCCUUAACCUCUAUGAACUCUAUUUAAGCAAUUUACCGUCAAGUGAAACUUUCUUCACUCUUUAAGUUUUUCUAUAGAUUCCAUCACUAAUGGCUCCCUGAAAUUCAUAUUAUGCAACGUACAAGCGUUUAUCAAAAGUGAGAUCAAUAAAACCAAAUGAAAGGAGUAGCUAGCACAGAAUAGCCAUGGCAGAGGCCUCAAUUUAUUAAAUGCAAUAUCUAUUAAAGUUAUUGAAUAGUAGCGGUGAAUGAGAAAGUCUCGAAAUACUGGUUAGCAAUGCAUCCCAUUUUUACUGUCAAUGAUAGUUAUGGUUUCAUCAUCUACAGUCUCAUCAACUCCCUCCCUCUCUUUAAAUAUGCUUGCUUGGUUUUGAAUCAAGAAUCUGAAGUUGCUGGUUAGCUUUUACAUCUU
rnacentral:lncRNA from 1 species